rnacentral:lncRNA from 1 species
GCAUAUACAAAACGAUCCAACCUCAGCUCAAUUGAGACGAUACAAAACAAACGAAAAGAAAUUAGGGCUUCCAGCGAGCAUUUUACAUGGCGGAGAUUGCAGCGAGCCACUGGAACAGGGAGGUUCCGAAUCCGGCAACGGCUCCGACGUGGAUUGCUAAGUUCUUCGCUGCGGCGGUUAGGUCGUUGAAAUCGGAAGCGAUCAGUGCGGUGCUUGCUCCGUCGAUCUUCAUAGCUAAGUAGCUCUGUCUCGCCAUUGUUUCAGCUCUCUCUAAGAGUAAAGGAUUUCCUCUACAGAGAUAUUAAUAGUAGUUUUAAUUACUCUGGAUAAGUGAUGGUUAAGCAAAUGAGUUGACUUGUUGACUGAGUGCAUUAUUUGUGUAGGCCACGUGAGCGCUUGCUGGCGAAACACGACUUGUAGAUGUUCGACACGUGGCCAAUAAUUCUAUUAUUGGAUAUUAUUUUAUUUUUGUUUGAGCUGUUAAGUUUUGGAUUCAGUGAGCUGGGACGUCUAAUGAAGUACAGCUGCCGACAUUAAUCAUUACAAGAAUCAAAUUAUAUGAAUGUCGAGAAAAAAUAUCUUAAUAAGCUGCGGUGAUGGGAAAGCGAGGCUCGCGCUCUGCUGGCCGCAAUGAGGUGGGUGUCGGAUGCUGGCUAUAAGAAUGUGGUGGUUGAAACGGACGCUAAAGAGGUCGUGGAUCGGCUGACAGGCUUGGAGAACUUGGCGAUAUCUUGACCCAACGUCGCACGAUCCUGAUGAGGGUUGUGUCUUUCCGGAUAUCGUUUGUUAGGAGGUGCAGGAACAAUGGUGGCACACAACGGCUUACAAUGUACGCUUGAGCGAUAUGUAUGUUCGUAAUUCGUUAGUCAACAAUCAAUUCGAGUCACAGACUCGGACUCCGACAAGCAGGUUUUUCUGGCAAAGGUCGGGGCUCUAGCUUUUAAGCCGAGAGAAAGACACGAACGAGAGCGCGUACGGCAGAACAACAACAUCGUCAAAUUUGAUAACAUUGUUGUCCAAAGCCAUUGGUUUUGAUUGAAUCGCAGAAAAGGAACACAAAAACAAACACUGAUGAAGAACUCAGAAACUGAAGAAAUCACAGUUUUCGUCUCUCUCAGAGAAUGCUUCUGAUCAAAGAGUAGGCAGGGUAAACAAAGAGGAGACAAAUUCCGAUGGUGUUGGAGAUUCCUGCUUCUUUGGUGAAGGCGUUCUUGAACCCGCCGGAGGCUCUGAUGUGUUCUUGCAGCAAGUAGCAGGCGAUUCCGAGGCAUAUCGCUACUCCGAUCCAGUUCCCUCUAGCGUAGCCGGCAAUCAACUCUGGCGCCACCACUAUUAGCAGGAUCGACGAAGCCGGCAUCUCUAGCCAUUCUGUACCAAAAAAAUUCCAACAACUUGAAAAAGCUUUAACAUUCAUGACAUAUAAAGGGCGAAAUGUCAAGUUUUUGAAUCCCAAUAAUUCCUAAUCCUCAACACUUAUAGACUUAAAGGUGUAAAAAAUUAUUGGAUCCCAACAACUCAAAAAUUUUCGAUCAAGGGUUUAUACCCUGUUUUUAUAUUAUUUAUUAACAUGCAUCUUUAACUUUCAAUGUGAGAUUUCCACGAUUUUGUUUAAGUUAUAUCCACAUAUUGAAGAUUAUCCGUAUUUGAAACAGAGGUCUCUUGCUCAUUAAAAACUCUAAUACCAUGUCAAAACAAUAACAUUUUAAUAACUAAUUCGAUUAGUUGAAAAAUAGUUUAGAAUGAUUUUAGAUUAUUCGCUAGCACCCCUCCUCCUCAAAGGGAAGGAUACAAGGGUUGGAGUUUUGCAUAAUUCCGAUAAAUUUUGUGCAAUAAAUUUUGGAUUGCCGGAAUUCGAACGAUAAUCUUUUGUUACACAAAAUGUCUGAUACCACAUCAUGAACAAUAUUUCUUCGACAAAAAGUUUUGCAAACCUUAUACCCUUCCCAAAACUUCGGUUUACGCCAGACUCUAUAAUCUCACCUGCGAAUUGGCUGGGGAAGAACAGGCGAACCACAAUAGCGACGAGCGCAGCCCAUUUCCCAAUCUCCCCUCUGUAAACAAAAAUCCAGAUAAAAAAUGGUUCAAUGAACAUUCAAUUCAUCAGUUUGAAAUCCAAUCAAGCAAAGAUUUGACCUAAUCAUAACUAUACCGGAGGAAACCGAAGAGGAACUGAGGCAAGGUGAAGAAGAUGUAAGGGAUGAGUAACCCUGUGAGAAUGUUAGUCUUCCAAUUCGUCCGAUCCAGUAUCAGUAGAUAUCUGUUACACAUACAGAACGAUCCAAUUCCACUCAAAUCGACGAUAUAAUAACAAAAACUGAAAAGAGAUUAGGGUUUCGAGCGAGCAUUUUACAUGGCGGAGAUUGCAGCGAGCCACUGGAACAGGGAGGUGCCGAAUCCGGCGACGGCUCCGACGUGGAUUGCCAAGUUCUUCGCUGCAGUGGCUAGCUCGUUGAAAUCUGAAGCGAUCAGUGCGUUGCUUGCUCCGUCGAUCUUCAUCGCUAAGUAGCUCUGUUUCGCCAUUGUUGUUUCAGCUCAAAAGGUUGGUUUUCGAAUUUUGAGUGAAGGGUUUCGUUUGCAGAGAUAUUAAUAGGAGGCUCGGAAAAGAUUAGUUUAAGUGAUGGUUAAGUAAAACCGUUGACUUCUUGACUGACGCUGCAUUAAGAUAAUAUUAUUUACUGUUUGUGUAUGGACACGUGGGCGCUUGCUGGCCGAGUGCGGCGUAUAGUUGAUGGACACGUGGCAGAAGCGAAUCUGUCGUCUGUGUUUUACAGUAUAGCUUGGGUGCUGAUUCCAUUACAAUCGGCACCCGCUGAUUCCUAGAUCCAACGGUUGAUGAUGGGUCCGACCAGAUCUAACAGUCAAAUAUGUCCAGCUUAUUUUUUUUGUUUUUUCUCUUUCCGGUUUUAGUUGGUUUUAAAUUGAGUUUUGGGUUACGAUUUUGGGUUUUUGGGUUUGUUUUAGGUAAAAAAAUCAUAUUCGGUUCGAUUUUAAUUUUGGGCGUUGGGUGUUGGGUCAAACUCAAAAUUUAAAAUUCAAAUUGUAAACCUAAUACUUUAGAUCCUAAACCUUAAACCGUAAACCAAACUCAAAACUCAAACUCAAAAUUUAAAAUUCAUUUUGAAAAUCUAAUACUCCAGACCCUAAAACUUAAACUCUAAACAAAACCCUAAAUCUUAAAACCCAAAACUUAAUCUAAAAUCAACUCGAACUGAAAAGAUACGGUAGGUAAAAAAAUGAAAAGAAAAACAAAUUGGACACAUUUGACCGUUGGAUCCUGAUAGAUCCAUCACCGACCGUUGGAUCAAGGAAUCAGCAGGUGCUGAUUAUAAUGGAAUCAUCAUCCAAGAAGAAUUGUGUGUUUUAUCCGCAUAUUUCAAUUAUAGGAUAUUAUUUUGCUUUAUUUAUGCUGUUUCCAAUUUUUGGCAGCUUGCAAUUCUAUUAAAUUGUUAUUUUGUUUUUUAAGUAUUGGAUUAAGUGAGCUGGCAGUUUUUUGAAAUACAGCUGCCGACAUCAAGCAUUGUAAAAAAUCGAAUUAUAUGGAAAAAUCUUAAUAAAAUGUUAGUAAAUUCAUUUUUGUAAGUUGCGACAUGUAAUUUAGACCUAAAGGAAGUAGAUACGAGAGAGUACAAUUAUAUAUUUGAUGAUAUCGUGAAUAGGUGACGGAUUAAAAAAUGCUCUUCGAUUAGUGUUUGGAGCUAUUAAAAAAGAAAUGGGAGAUCGAAAAUCGUACAAUUUGGUUUCUUAACGAACACUGAACACGAUAUGCAAUCGCAAUGUACAAUACAUUUACGUCUUUUUUAAUUCAUUAUUAUUGUUAAACAUCAUUAAUAGUAUAUGGGAAGAACGAUUAUUUUGUAUUAACAACAUUAAUAUUGACAAUCUUACUGAAACAAACAUUAAUGACAUUAGGUGGCCGACAUGUACAAGAUAUUUCUUUAUCGCUUUGAUGAAUCUAAAGUAAGCUGCCGACAUCAAAACUUUUCUACCCACACAAAUUACAUGGGCCCACUCUAAGAACAUAUUACAUGGGCCUGCAUACGGUUUUGGGCUACAUCCAAUCACCAUACAAAGGAAUAGCAAUAUGGUCAUCUAUUUCGAAUUUAAAAAAUCUGGUCUAGUGUAUUAAACCUGUUUGGAUUGCGUUGUUAGGAGAUCUUGAGAUAAGUGUUGUUUUUAAAUCAAUCAUCUUUGAGAAUCGAAUAUAUAAGUGUAUUGUAUAAAAUCUAAUCAUUAACUAUCUCAACCAACUGCGGCAUGUGACGGAUCCAAAAUCACUAAUUAACGAUUCCUCAUACACAAAGUUUCGACUCGAAAGAACAAUUUAAUAACAGGGAACCGCUGCUGCCUGCUUCACAAGAGUCAUGGCAUAAAUCAGAUGGGUAACAAGAAGCUGUCAGCUCAGUGGUUCCACCAAUCCGCAUACAAUAAGGAAAACCAUCUCGGUAUUGAAUUUGGGUUUAUGGGCCUUUUGCCUUUCUUUUUUGCUUCGUGGAUAAGUACAUCAAUCUUUGGCCCAUCAAUGAAAAGCCUUGUUUCAGGGGAAUGGGCUCCACUGGCAACUUUUUGUUCUUUUAUAGACAGCCCAUACAAGUUUUCUUUCACACUCGAGUCAUAUAUGGAUUGGCUCUCGUUUUUAACUCACCAUCUCGAUUUUCCGGUUAGGUGGUUCAAGAGCGAGAUUACAUAAUUGAUCGAGGUUGAGCUCUAACGCUACUCGUCAAGGGUGCUAAUGACCCCAAGUCGAGAUUGACUACUUAAAAAAUUGUUAGCGAGCCAAAUUCGACACUGUCUUUAACAACUCAAACUCUAGCCAAGACUCAUUAUCCGAGCUAAACUAAACCUAGAAAGUAAUAGCAUAAAACCGAAUUUAAUAAUCGUGCAAAGAGAAAAGAAAACUGAACUCUAGAGGCAGCUAAGAUAUAUACUGCCUUAGCUUCAACGCAAACGGCUAGAGCGGGUGAACACGGUAGCUUCCAGCCCUUUCGCCAAUCACUUGUCUAUGUGAAUUAAUAAUGACAACCUCAUAUCUCGUCACAAGAGAUAUUUGGUCGAAUGAUCCUUAGCAGUAAGCACUUUGUCGACUCGUUGCUAUAACUAACAUAUACCUACACGAUUGUUUGCAAUCCAAGUAGCUUUCAUAGUUUAGUUUGUCGGAACUCCCGUUUAGUAAGCGGGAGGUAUUGAUUUCAGCUCUCAAUGGAAGCAAAAUUUCAAACAUUUUUUAUUUAUUUCGACAAUCUUAUGAAUAUUUAUGAAUUCCGAAUAUCAUAAUUACUUUUCAUGUAUACUAAUAUUAGAAAUCAUAAUGUUCAACAGAUUUAUUAUGGAUCAUUAAUGAUUGAUCUUGUAGCUUUCUUCUGUCCCACUUGCUAUUAGGUUAUCAGUAAAUAGUUGACUUUUUAACAAAAUACGUAUGUUUCUUUGUUGACUUAUAUUCCACAUACGUUCACGAAAGUCUUCCAGAUAUAACUAUGCAUGAGACAAAGACAAGAAAAAUGAACAGUACUAACAGUUGUUCCUAAUAGGAUUGAGAUUAUUGAUUAACAAAUAUAUCGCUUGGAUUAAACAAAUUGCGACACAAAUCAAGAAUUUCACCACGUACGUCGACAAAUAUGGAAUCUAUUAAUUUAAAGAACGUAUAUCACACUACAUUGCCAGUAGAGAUUGACUUACCUACCUAUUGAUAUAGUUAAUUAUUAAGGAUAUAUGUAUAGUUAAUUAAUACAGAAACUUGUCGGCACUUUCGGUGGCCAGAUUUUGCUAAUUUAGUUUUGUCGAAUUUGUCACGUAUCUCGUACGAACAGAUUCACCAAACACUCAUAAUUACCAUAUGUGGCAACAACUUAAUUAAUUUAUCAUAAUACUCAAAGCCCCGUUAUUAAAAGAGGACAUUAUCUUAAAAUAAUAUAAAGUAAUAGUAAUAGUAAUAAUGGCUUUUUCAUUAUUCUUUUGGCAAAUAAGUUUUCCAAUGAAAAAUAAUAAUAAAAAAUAGAAUGUUUUAUAUUCAUGGUAAAUAAGGAUUAAUUUAAUACUAUUGGGCCUCUUUGAUUCAUGAAUGAGUUUGAUUUCAAUCAAACAUGAUCGAGUUAUUUUGAAAGAUUACUUUUUUUCUAAUGUUUUUAAUGGUUAAUUUGAUUUCUUGUAGGCCAAUUUUUUUUAUAAGUCUGAAUGUUAUCAAGACUUGGAGUUUGGCACUGUAAUGUUCAUAGACUAACCAACAAAUUUUAAAUUUUAUUUAUGUCAUUUUAUGACCNNNNNNNNNNNNNNNNNNNNNNNNNNNCAUUCUAAUAAAUUAAAAAUUAUCUAAAUUUAAAAGGGAGACCUCUCGAUUUUUUAAUUUUAUAAUAUGAUCAAAUCAAUCACAAUAGUUCAAAUUAUUGAAAGAGAAUCAUCAAAUUGGUUUUUAUAAAGUGUUCAUGAUUAAAACUUUCGUUUUCAAAGUUAUCAGAUAAAUAAUUAAAUUAAACUCUUGGCUUUGACACGUAAUCUGUAUAAUUAAACACACUUACCUACCAUGAGAUCUCCUUGUUCGUUCACUCUUUAUCUUCUCGUUUGAAAUUUGUACCACAGAUUAUAAGUUGUUUGUUGUUUUCUUUGAGUUUGACCUUUUCGUAUUCAUGCAUGGAAAAAUGUUAGAGUUGGGGCGCGUAUUACUGAAUAAUAUAAAUAUUAAUUGAAAUUCUUUCUCAACAAUUCGAAUUAUUGAAAUAUAACGAUUCUUAACACUUGAAAUGGUUAUGAAAAUCAACUACAAAUUUCAAUUUCCAACUGUAAAUUCAGCUCAACGCAUUCAUGGUCCGAGCUCAUUAAAAAUCCUUGACUUCUGGAGCCCAUAACAUGUUAAUUUUGAUAUUUUUUCAAAAUGACUGCGUACUCUUCAUAUGUUUCCAUUUAGUUACGUAGUCUACACGUCACUCUUCGAAAUGUUAAGAAAAUAUCUGGUAAUUUCUGUUGCAUGGAUAAUGAUUUGCCACGAGCUAUGAACCGACACGUGACAGUACUUGCCAUACAGAGUACUGGAUUUGCCAUGCAUAAUCCAAUCAUCACGCUAACGUACUCCACAUAAAAGACGUGGCAGCUCGUCAGCCGUGAACUUGUUGUCACAUGGCGGUAAUUAACGUAGAGCAGUAGAAAACCAUUGUUACCGUUGACGUGUCGGCUUCCGGCAGGUCCUUUGUCUUCGUUUUGACUUUUUGAUUCCAUGCAGCCGAAAAGCGGAUCUAGACGAUGGGAUUGCAUUCAAAUUAAUGAACCUAUAGACUAUAUUACGAUUGUAACAUACCUAUGUUGUAACUAAUUAAUAAUUACUCGAAUAAAAAAGUAAAGUAACGCAAUAGGUAACGUUGUGUAUUAGUAAUUUUAUGUGUUAUGUGAGACGUGUGAGUUCAGCAUACUUAUAGAAAAAAUAAUCGUACUUAUUACAGUUUACCUUGUUCGUCGUGGUCACUAGUUUAGACUUGGUAUUCACAUUUUGAUGAUAUCGACCGUCAGAAUAAUACCAUACCACUCAGCAACAUACUAUAUAAUACUACAUAUCAUGCUCUCACUAUAGGAGACAAGAUUGUCAUAAUUUCGAGAAAAUAUCCCCUCGGUACGUAUAUAAUUUUUUUUCACAAACACCAUGUCCGGUACAAUCUCGUCGACUAUGGUAAUUAUGAAAUCACCUAUCCGGCCAUAAUGUAUAUACUAAGAUAUAUUGUAAAUUGUAGCCAUUCAUUUCACUUGAAAUUUGUACCACAAAAUAAGGAAAAAUUGGUGAAUUAAUUAAAGCGCCUUGACCUUAAGGGAAACUGUGUGCUAAAAGAUCUAAGGAAAACGUUAGAAAGCAAUAGUGACGGGUUCAGAAACCCUAAUUAUCAUGAGAGUUUGUGAUUCUAAUUUCCCAAAUCCAAUACUAAUAAAUAUGAAAAAUAUUAUGCAUUUUCAUUUUUAGUUCAAACCGAUUUUAAUGUUCCACUGAUUAUUUAUUAUAAUUAAAUUUGUUAUUGUGAUUUACAACCUAUUAAUCUAUUAUAGCUGGAUUGAUUACGGUAAUAAAUUAGUUAAAUUUGAUAGAUGACAUGGUGUAAAUAAAAAAAUAGGAGAGAAAGAGAUUGAAAUACCACUAAACAGAAUAAAAAGCAUUAAAAGUUCACAUAUGAGUUAACACUUUAGGUUAGGAAAGGAGAAAAUCGAAACUCUCAUUACAUCUCUAUAGUUCCACUCUAGCACGGAGCAUAUAUUAAAAUAGCGAUGAAUUGAAUUCGAAAAAAUCACAAAUAAAUCUGUAAAUGAUUUAGAAUCAAAAUCAAAGGUAAAACAUAAUUCAUCCGACUCUACCCGUUUCCGCCACCUCAGUAUUGACCGAUCUGUUGAGUGUUGGAUCCACAUUACUGCUAAUUUCUGAUGCACGGAUAAUGAUCAAUGGCAAGUGAUGAGCCAACACGUGGCAGUUUAGAAAUCAAAUAGUUUUCUUUUCCUCAUGCAGGCGGAUAUUAAUUAUUGGAUUAGCCAUGCAUAAUCCAAUCAUCACGCUAACGUACUAUGGAAACCUUAGCAUGACGUGGCAGUCUGGCAGAGCUCGUAAGCUUGUCGCUACGUGGCUGGUAAUUACGUUGGGAGCAAUUUACAUAAAGAAAGCAGUCGUUCUCGGUUACCUAGAUUAAGCCGCCGUCGAUGUGGCAGCUGCCGGCCGGUUAAUUGUCGUCGCUUUGACAUUCCUGCGAGAACAAUUUAGGGAUUUUGACUUUUGAACUGACGCGGUCGGAAGGGGGGUCUAGUUGACGAGAUUGCAUUCAAAUUCAUGGACGUAGGCCUACAGUAGAAAUACAUGUACACAGUACAUACGGAUAUGUGCAGUUGUGUACGGUAAUCUUGGCAAGAUUAAAACACAUAAAUAAAAGCGUUAUUUUAAUUUUCAAAUGGUGAAAUAAUUUUUGAAAUACCGGGUUGGAAAGGAGAGAGAAGAUUGUUGUUGACAAAGUCAAAGGUCAAUUACUUGGUUUCUCAGGAAAAGAAAAAGGGCCGGUCAACAAAAUGGCAACACCAAACAUAUUCCCAAAAUUUGCCUUUACACGGCCCUUUUUCGGGUUUUCACUUCUAGAAUGGACAAAUCUUUUCCCGACCCGCCGAAAUAAAUAAAAACUCGCCUAAUUCGUGAUCAUCUUAUUUAAUUACAAUCUUUUUUUAUUAACAUAAUCUUGCACAUUUAACAUGGAGUUAAAUGUGAAAUCGAGUGUGAAAUAGAGUCUAACGUGUCAGAAUUUAUAUUUAAUUAGCAAAUAUUUUUUAAACAUAUUAAAAUGUUAUUACAUGUUAUAAAUCUUGUUAUUAUAAAUAUCUAUUGUGUAACCUAUACAUUAAUCAUGAAAAUUAAUAUCAUCAUUUUUUAUUUAAGGUACUUAUAUUAGUCAUAAGAUAUUAUGUAUCAUGAGCUUAUAAAUAAUGUUCACACUCUUAUAUGUUAUAUACUUGAUUAAAAAUGCUAUUUUCCUCUCAUAUUCUUCUAUUUUUAGUUUCUUAACACGUUAUCACCACGAUUGCUCUACCCUCUCUCGAUAAUUCACAAAGAUUGUUGCUUGCUAUAUCCUAAUUUCUAUGAUUCUGUUUAUGUUUGUUUUACAUUCUNNNNNNNNNNNNNNNNNNNNNNNNNAAUAUCAACGUUACUGAUUUGUUUACAUUGUCUUACAUGAUCAGCGAAGAUAAAAGUAACUAAACGUUAUUGAAAUAUUUUAUUUGCACUGGAGUUUUGGGUUGGUUGGAGAUGAACUCAUAAACGCCUUAGAGAAGUGAAGACUAUGAAGGCGGCUAUAUCCUCUCAUAUUUUUCUAUCUUUAGUUUCUUUUGGUUCUGCUAAUCAAGGUUGGUAUAGCGUAGUUAAUAGUAUUGUGGUGGUAUUGGCGNNNNNNNNNNNNNNNNNNNNNNNNNNNNNNNNNNNNNNNNNNNNNNNNNNNNCGAUUAUAAGGUAUUUUAGGUUUUAAUUUAGUGGCACCUGUAAAUAAAUAUCUAUGUUAUGUAGUGUUUAUUUUCUUUUCCUUGUAUUAUUUUACCGAAUGUAGCGGUCUUAAUUAUUAUACACGUAUUUUUAGAAGAUCGAUCUAAUAAGUUCUACCAAGUUGAAUAUUAAUAACGCACAACAGCUCUUCUCCACCACUCUCUUAAUAGUUUUUUUUUUGGGUAAAAUAAGACGUUAAUGCAUAUUUUAAAUAUUAUUAAAAACCACAAAAUGUGAAAGAGAAAUGCUAAUUAUAUCAUAGUUCAACCAAUGGAACAGACCUCGAUCAAAUGAAUAAAAAAUAUGUAAAUCACAUCACAAGGGUAAGAGUGGCGCACGUUGGUCAAGUAAUCAGCGGUACAUUUGGCUUCGCGGUUGCGUCAACAUAAAAGUUGUAGACCAUCAAAUUAUCUUUCCAACGCCGCUGACCUUGCAUCAAUUGAACUUUCAAACACCAUAACAUGGCCCCGAGGGGAAAGAGAACCAAACAUGUAUUCAAAAACCCGACUUUGAAUACAUUUCGACACACAAAAAUAUAGUUUAUAACGAGAAAAUGUGUGUUGAAAAUACAACAUAUCAGGAAAUAUCCAACUCCCGUUGACGUUUGCAAAGUUCCUGGAACUGCAAACUAAGAAUAACAUGUUGAUGAUUAAAAGAGGAGAUAUGUAAUAGAAUUACAAGGACGGUUUUAGAAUCAGAUUGUACACGUAUUUGUCGAAUACCAAUCGAUCAAGCUAGGUCAAGGCCUUUAAUAAUGCCUGUCAUUUCCGCACGAGUAAUGGAGCAGCAACUAAUGUUAAUCGCAAAGGCUUUAACAAAAGAGCCUCCAUCAUUCCUAUUAGUUAAUACAUGAUAAGCAAACCAGCUCAACUUGUAGGAUUAAAACAAAAAAAAAACUAAAUAAUUAAGUAUGUUAAAGGUAUUCAAAACUAUUUGCUUUAUUAAAGGUAGUGGUGGAUUUAGGGAGGACCUUUCUUAGGCCACAACCAAUGCUUGUAUGAAUCUAAAGUUUUAAUAUUAUACCAUUUUUUUUUAUUUUGAAAAGAAUUAAUAUAUUUUUCAUAUAUUAUUUAGUGUAUUGCAAAUUUUAUACAAAUCGACUUAAUAUAUUAAAUUAUUCUAAAUUCGCUGUCAAUUGAAGGAUUACAUCGCGCAUGGACUAUGGGCUCGUCAACCAAACACAUUUUGUUGCUACUACUCAACUUUUUGAAAUUGCAGGUAGCCAUGAUCAUUAACAUGCAAAUUUGGGUUUUCAAUUUUAAAAUCUCCUCCGUUUUAAUUGAAAAGUUACACUUACUUACGUUUAUCGUUAAGAAAACUUUCUUAUGAACCAUUUUAUUUUGAAAGAACACAACUUUUUUUUUAAGAAACAUAACUUUGACAUAUUUAUUCCUCGAGUGCAUUUUGAAUUGUCCAUCAUCCCAACCUCAGCUGAUUCUGCAUUAAUUAUUUUAUUCGGUCUCAUAAAAAAAAUUAAUCAAAGAAUUUGAAAUGUUUAAGAUUAAUUAAGAAAAAACAAUGCACAUGGGAGUAUGAACACUCUUUUCGCAUUUUAUUAUUCCCCCGUCUCCUAAUUACCAGCACACGCCUAAAGUUUGGCUAACGUCCAAUUUCGCAGCCCCAAAUCCAAAUACGUCACCUGCUUAGCCGCCACGUGUCCCAUCAUCACUCCCCAAUAAAUACCCCUUCCCUCAAUUUUUUCCCAAUCCUUUCUUCUCCAAUCAAUAUUAACAAUAAACCUAAGAAUCUCCCAAACAAAAUCUCUUCUUCUUCUCCAAUCAUCAUUCAAUUCGAAAUAUGAGGUACGAAAAGUCACAAGAUCCGCCUCCGGCGACGACGUCGACGAACACUAAUCCCCCUAAUCGCCGGCUCAAGCUCGGUGCACUCCUGCUCCACGAAGACGCCGAGCUUAAUCGUGACAUCGCGACCGCUUCCUCAAGCUUGACUAGCACUCCGAGGGACUCGAACAGUAGCGGAACUCCCGCCGCCGCCGACCUUCUAUUCGCUUCUUCUCCUUUCUACGGCGGGGGACUACUAUCUCCAUGGAACAACAGCAACAACAACAAUCCGACGCUAUCGCCGUACUUGAAAUCGCCCUGGAUAAUCCCUUCCCCUGCUCUUCUUCCAAACAACAGCUUAAUCGGAUCGAUUGUGCGGCAGGAAGGCCACGUCUACUCUCUGGCCGCGUCUGGAGAUCUGCUCUACACCGGAUCUGACAGCAAGAACAUCCGAGUGUGGAAGAACUUGAAGGAGUUCGCCGGAUUUAAGUCGAACAGCGGGCUCGUGAAGGCGAUUGUAAUCCACGGCGAUAAGGUUUUCACCGGUCACCAGGACGGGAAAAUCCGGAUCUGGAAGGUCUCGUCGAGGAACUCGUCUUCCUACGGAAGGGUAGGGAGCUUGCCGACGUUCAAGGAUUCGCUUACGAGCUCCGUAAAUCCGAAGAACUACGUCCAGAUUCGGCGACGGAAGAACGUUUUGAAAAUCAAGCAUUACGAUGCUGUUUCGUGUAUGGCGCUGAAUCCAGAUCUCGGCCUUCUCUACUCCGGGUCCUGGGACAAGACUCUCAAGGUAUGGCGAAUCGGAGACGGUAAAAGCAACGGUAGCAGUGCUUCUAAUUACAAGUGUUUGGAGUCGAUAAACGCGCACGACGACGCGAUAAACGCGGUGGCGACGGGAUUCGAUUCUCUCGUGUUCACCGGAUCCGCGGACGGGACGGUGAAGGUGUGGAAGCGGGAGCUGGAAUCGAAAGGAAACGUUAAGCAUUUCUUAGUCCAGACGCUGCUGGAGCAGGAGAGCGCGGUGACGGCGUUGGCGGUGAGCAGCGGCGGAGGAGGAGGCGACGUCGGAUCAGAAGUGGUGUACUGCGGGUCUUCGGACGGGAUGGUGAACUUCUGGGAGAGAGAAAAACACCUCUCCCACGGCGGAGCGCUCAGGGGACACAAGAUGGCGGUUCCCGCGGCGGGGGGCUGAGGGACAAAAAGGUGGGGGUGCUCUGCCGGGCCACGGCGGGGGAAGGGUUGGUUUUCAGCGGGUCCGCCGAUAAGAGCAUCUGCGUGUGGAGGAAGGAGAGGGGUGGUGGUGGGGACCACGUCUGCCUUACGGUUUUGACGGGCCACGGUGGGCCCGUCAAGUGCUUGGCGGUUGGGAGAUCGGACGGUGAGGAGAAAGCGAAGGGUGAGGAAGAUCAACGGUGGGUGGUGUAUAGCGGGAGUCUUGAUCGGUCGGUGAAGAUUUGGCGCGUGGAUGACCACGUUCCGGAGUGGCGGGAUUAUUACCAGUCGCCUAGAUUGAGCCCUUAUGACCGUUCUCCCAGACAGUGAUGGAGACGUGGACGUAUAAAUUGUGGAUGGCGUUGGGGUGAAAGAAGCGCGGAGUUACUGUGGAGUAUAGGAGUUAGUUGGUAGUUUCCGUUUUUGAUUUUUUUGGAGGUUUGGUUGUUGAGAAAGGGACGAGGGAACCAAACCGAAUCCAUAGAGUUUUUAAUAUGGAAGAAUUCUUGGUUCGUUUCUUUGCUUAGGGAGCAAGCAAAAAUGUACAGAAGGUCAAAGUAGUCUUUUUAUCACUUACUUCCAUUUGUUGGUAAUUUUUUGUUCAUACAUAAUAAGAUUAAUGUUUCAUGAAGGCCCAAUUUAUUUAGAUUUUACUAAAAAUGACAUAAUUUAUUAAAAAUAUUUUUUAUGGUACAAAUUUUUGGUCAACCUCAACAAAAAUUUAUCAACAUUAUAUUUGACCGUCGAUUUAACAAUCAAACUUACAAUAAUAACGUCUCUGCUGGCUUGUUAUUCACAUAAGCUCCACGUCAUAUUAUAAUAAUAUUAUAAUUAAAAAAAUGAAAUCCAAAAAAAAUUAAGAUCUCCUUUGUCCCUGUUCGCUUUCCGCCUCCUACUGUAGGAAGCCAUCAACUCUUUCGUCUCCCUCUCUCGCGACGGUUCUCUCUCUCGACCUCACCCAGUCCUCGAUGAUGCCAUUUCUUGAUUUGGGAUGACUUCCACAUGCCAUUUGGGGAAGAUCCUCAAGAACCAAUGCCAGAAAUAGUAGGACUAGUGAAAGCGGUGUUUUUAGGUUGUAUUUCAAGGGUUUAGUUAGUGAGGAGAGGGUUAAUGGUCGUCGAAGCUCAAUUUUGGCUGUAUCCGUGUUGUGAUAUGGCACCCCACGGGGUAUUUGAUGAUCGAAGAGCUAAGCAGAGAAGGGAGAAAAGGGGGAUGGUGGAAAGAGAAAGCAGGUAAAAGGAGGUAGAGAGGGGAGAUGGCGAAGAAGGGAGAUAUGUGGGACUUGAGAGGAGGAAGAGAGAGGAUGUGAGUGACAAUAAACGGUGAUGGGAGGUGGGUGGUCAGGUGGAGGGGGAAUUAACGCACGUAAAUGCAUGCAUGUAUGACCAUUGAAUAUUAUUUGGAUAAGAAAACUCGAUCGCAAUGCCUUGAUGAAUAGGUUACUCCCGUACAUCAUUCAUAAUAAUAAUAAUAAAUAAUAAUAAUAAUAAUAAUAAUAAUAAUGGCGGCUAUUGGCAAGUUGCAUAUCAUUUUGGGGGAAUGGUUGGUUGCAUGAUUACCACUUAACAGAGAGACAAAAACUAAGGAGAGAGCUCAACCUCGUAUGCUUCUUUCUUUUGUUCUGUUCCAUAUUAUUACUCACCAGCAAGUUGCAUCCAAAUCAACGACUGCCCAAGAUGGGGCGGCACAAUUGGCUUUAUCAAUAGCAGAGGGACAGCAUCAAAGCAAGCGGUUGGGGUAAAUGGUGAAAUCACGCCCAUCGGAGAUUUUGAACGGAAUUUCAAAUUUAAAAGCUACAUAUGUCUACGUUUUUCAGUAAUAAUAUUAAAAUUUUAAAUACAAUCCUAUGUAUCGAAUAGCAAUAGACGAACAUAUUUGUUUUCUUUCAACUAGUAACAGAUAGAUUUUUUUAACACGUUAGUGUACUGCUUUUAGUUAAAAUGAAAUUAAAUGUGUUACCGGCGAUUUUUUCACUACAUCUGGUAUUUGAACUAAAUGUAUGUGGAUUACUUUAAUAGGUUGGUUAGAAAUUUAAAUUUAAUUGAUUAUUUAGUUUAAACAAAUAAAUAGAGGAAUAUAACUUCAAAUUCCAUUAGUCGAAUACAAAACCAUAAAAAAUUUACAUAUAUUUUAGUACUCGAGACAAGAUGAGAUAAUAGAGUCGGGAUUCUCUCUGAUUUAAAAUAACCAUAUAUAAUGACUGAGUUUCAUAUAAUGGUUCAACACUAAAUUAGUUUGGAGAUACAAUAGACAAUAUUCAGAAACAUACUACACAAGAUUCAAAAACUUACUAAUUUUAUAUAAUAAUUUGAAGCUCUAAGAAUGGGGGACGACCCUAAGUGGUGGCACGGGUUUGCCCGUCCCUAAUUUCGCCACUAAAAUGAGCCUGAGAUGUACCCUGGUUCGAGGCUUGUGGCGAAUUUUGAUUUUUUGGCUGGGUUGAGUCGGUCUCGAUUAGACUGUAUCCGGUUGGAUUUUUGGGGUGAUCGCAAAGAAUCAAAAGUCCAAAAGAUAAAAACUUGGAGCUCUAAUCAAUCAGGGACUCAAAUAGUAACCCACAAAUAACGAUUUCGAUUCAAACCGGCAAACCCGAUUUCACCGAAACCAUGUCGAAAAAUGUAAAUCUACUGAUCAGUGAACUUGGAAGGGCCUGUGGGAUCAAUACUUUCGACCCGUAUAAGAAGUUAUAUGGGCCUUAAGGCCCAACAUAAUUUUAUCUUCCACCGCCGUCCAGUCCUCCCAGCUCAACUACCACCGGAGAAACCUCAACUCAACUCUUCUUCCUCUUCGCAGCUUCCGUUACCUCUUUUCUUCAGUCUUUUCACAGCUGAAACUUCUACAAACAAAAUUCAAUAUCACUAAAAUUCGAUUCAUCUUGUCAGCGAUAUGAAGCCAAACAGACUGUUAAAAGCUCGAUUCCUUAAACUCAAUAGCUUCAAAACCUCCCCAGUUCAAUCCAGACAGAUCCCCGGUUAUCCCAAUUGCUGCCCGUUCUCCUCCGCGGCCGAAAUCGACACAGGGAGUAUUAUUCCAGCGGAAGAAGAAGCUAGCGUGGAGAAGGCGGAAGAAGGAGGAGGAGGUGAGAUCUUCAAAUUAAUACAAUCUUCUAAGUGGCAUUCCGUCGAACACCUGGCGCGCAAACUGACAUCUCCAGCUAUUUCCACUACUCUACUUUCUCUUAAGAAGAAACCGGAUUCAGCGCUCAGGUUCGUCAACUGUGUCGGAUUUGACUCUCUCGAUUUGAAAAAUAAGUGUCUUUCCGUGGCAGCGGUGUCUCAGUCGCCUUCUCCGAAGCCCAGUUUGCAAUUACUAAAGCAAACCAUUAGGAAUAAUAAUAGAGCGGCGGUGGUCGACGUUUUGGAAGUUUUUAACGAGUUGGCGAUUGCUAAGGAUGCGUUUGGGAUCGAAAGUUCGUUACUUUUCGAUUUGCUGAUCAAGACUUGCUGCGAAUUGAAAAGAGGCGAGGAUGCGUUUGUCUGUUUCGAUGCAAUGAAGGAGAAAGGUUUGAAUCCAAAAGUCGAGACGUGUAAUGAAAUGCUGAAUCUGUUUCUGAAAUCGAAUCGCACCGAGAAAGCUUGGGUUCUGUAUGCUGAAAUGUUCAGGUUAAAGAUCAAGUCGAGUGUUUACACUUUCAACAUAAUGCUUAACGUAUUGUGCAAGGAAGGCAAGCUGAAGCAAGCCAAGGAGUUCAUCCCGUUCAUGGAGAGCUUAGGGAUUAAGCCGACUGUUGUAACCUACAACACGUUAAUUCACGGGUACUGCUCGAGAGGGAGGUAUGAAGGUGCACUUUUGAUUUUUGAUCUAAUGCAGCGUAAAGGAAUCGAUCCUGAUGCGUACACGUACGGUUCCCUCAUUUCCGGGAAAUGCAAGGAAGGAAAUCUCGAUGUUGCCUCUAAACUGCUCGAGAAAAUGAAGGAAAUCGGAUUGGUUCCGAAUGCUGUUACCUACAACAUCUUGAUUGAUGGGUAUUGCAAUAAAGGCGAUCUGGAGGUGGCGUUUCGGUAUAAGGACGAGAUGAUUGGGAAGGGGAUUGUGCCGACUGUGUCUACGUACAAUCUGUUGGUUCAUGCCUUGUUGAUGGAGGCGAAAAUGGACGAAGCUGAUGAGAUGGUGAAGGAAAUGAAGGGUAAAGGGAUAGUUCCUGAUUUGAUAACUUACAACAUAUUGAUUAAUGGUUAUUCGAGAUGUAAGAAUGUUAAGAAGGCGUUCGAGCUCCACGAUGAGAUGGUGAGUUUAGGCAUUCAGCCGACGAAGGUAACUUAUACGUCACUCAUUUACGUUCUGAGUAAACGGAAAAGAAUGAAGGAAGCUGAUAACUUGUUCGACAAGAUUCUGAGACAGGGGAGGAUUCUUCCGGAUCGGAUAAUGUUCAAUGCUUUAAUCGACGGUCAUUGUUCUAGCGGGAAUAUAGACCGUGGAUUCGAAUUGUUGGAAGAGAUGGAUAGAGUGAAGUGUUUGCCCGACGAGGUGACUUACAACACCCUGAUGCAGGGGCGGUGCAGGGAGGGGAAAGUCGAAGAGGCUCGUGGAUUGAUCGAGGAGAUGAAGAACCAGGGGAUUAAACCGGAUCAUAUCAGUUACAAUACUCUGAUUAGUGGUUACAGUAAGAGAGGGGAUAUGAAGGAUGCGUUGAGGGUUCGGGAUGAGAUGGUGAGUAUAGGGUUUAAUCCGACAAGGUUAACAUAUAAUGCGCUGAUCCAAGGGUUGUGUAAGAAUCAAGAAGGGGAUCUUGCUGAGGAGCUGUUUAGGGAAAUGGCUAGCAGAGGGAUUCCUCCAGAUGAUAGUACUUACUUCUCUUUGAUUGAAGGGAUUGGGAAGGAAGUUGAGAGUUCAGAGUCAGUUCCAUGACUGGAGAAAAGUGGUAAGCUUGUUUACAGACCAUACAUGUUCUUACUGAAGAAACCAGUUUAGGCCUGAGCUGGCUGUUUCAAAUUGUUGUAUUUGUCACUGUGAUGGUUUAAAAGAGUGGGAAGAAGGGUUUGCAUCAUUUGUUGAAACCUCUGCAACAUUGCUGCAGCUCUCGAGAUGACUCCCCGAUCAAGCUUGAAAAAUGGAAACCUUAAUCUCAAUAACUUAGCCCGAAAGAACCAAGCUUAGAGCUCAAACCCAUGAGUAGACUCCAUGAGAACAUUAAACAUUCUUACAUUGACUAAUAACGUCUUGAUUCCAAUCGACUAGGGCACGAUUUCGGUCAAACCUUGGAGAAACGUCACCUAUCCAAAACCCAAAUUACAUCACAACCAAGAACCAAUCCCAAAUAUCUGAACUUGGAGCUCAAAUCCCUGGCCGCAUGACUCUUAAGUGAAACAUAAGUAAAUAAGUUCUUGAUUCAGACAUAACUAACAUAACUAAAUCCGGUAGAUAACAUAGAUGGUCCGUUUUGUUUUGGCCCCGUACGUUUCGAAACCUUUGGCCUUCAACAAACACGAUCAAACUCGAGAUAUGGAAACCAGGAUCUCAAAUCCUCCAUUGCCGGGGGAGGACUCGAUAACCUGGAAAAGGCAGACGUCCCCUUCCUUAACUGAUUCGCAUGGUAAAACUUAGUCCACUUUUUACCCAUCAUCGUCAACGAUGGUCCGGAAUGCUUCAGUUCAAUUUCAAUUCCACCCGACCCGCCGCCACCCGAAACCUUGAGAUUCAUCCGAUCCUCAUAUUUCAUCUUCAACUUUUGCACAAUUCCAGCUGGAACAGUCUGCAUAAAAUAAUUGAACAGAGAGUACGAAAACAGAGUGUGUUCUUCAAGACACGUUUUCCGUCCCGAAAUUGGUGGAAUUAAUGUAAUUUGCUUAAUCUCUUACAAUGCGGUAGGUCGUUCUGAGUUGUUGAUUGGCGGGCAUCAUCACGACGAUGAACGACGGAGUAUCGCGUCCCUUGUUGGCCAUAGCUUCUCGCAAAGCGGUCUUGCUUUCCGGAGACAUUUUGGGAAAUGUCAGGCAGUUGAAUUUGCUGGCCACUUCGAUUCCUCUCGCCGCCAAUUCAGCCAGCAAAGCCUCGCAUUCAUCCUCGCUGACGACGGCAGGUGACGGUGGUGGUGGGUAGACGAUCUCGCACGUGGACAGAUCGAAUACGCCGACGUUGAACCUCGAGCCGCCGGUGUACUCGAAAGUGAGGAAGAAAUCCUGCUUGAUGGAGUUGUCAUCCAUGAACUUGGACCACCCUCUUUUGAACCAGAGUUCCUUACGGUCUUUUCCAGCGGUUAUGCCGGUUUCGAAUACGGUGCCGUUUGGAAUGCAGAGCUGUGCGUUUGACCACUUCUUCAUCGCCAGCUUCCUCCCGUACUUCCUCGCGAACUUGAUCGGCAGGGGCUGUUGAAAAAGAGACAGAAAAAACAGAUGAUGUGAGAAAAAUGAGUUAUUCGGUUUGAUUUUACAGUUCGAUUUUAAACAAGCUGGCUUAAUAAUCUAUGAGCUAAGUUGGAGCCAACUUUGGCUCGCGACCUCAACUAUCGGCUAGAUUAAGUCUAUAGAGUUGGCUUGAUUGCCGACUUGUUAAUUGGCUAAAUUAAUAUAGCUUAUGAGUUGAUUUAAAAAAAAUUAAUGCCUAAAAAAUUCAUACUUCAUUUAAAUACACAAAAUAUGAUUUAACUUGAUUAAUUAGGACUUAAAAAAGAGCUCGUUAAAUGGAGUUAACAAUUAUUUUUUCGAACUGAAGUCGACAUGAAUUUGAGCUAACAAUAAUUUCCCCGAAAGCUCUACUCGGUUUGACCUGCCGACAGCCCUCUCAUGCAUCGAAUAAAACAGAGGAUUCAACCAAGAAGAGAAUGGGAAUGAGACUUAACGAGUUGUUUCUCUUCGAUGACACUUGGCAUGAUGAGUCGGAAGAAGUUCUCAACGCCCGUAUCUUCUACUUCGCCGGCGGCAGAGGCGCCGGACGGAGAACGGUAUGUGAUUCCGCAACAGUAGGUGUCGUAGAUCUUGACGGAGAACUUGGAAUCCCCAAAGUAGUCGAAUCGGAGGAAGAAUCCGGUGCAAAUGGAGUGUCGGCCCACUUCUCACCGAAAUAGGCCUCGUUCCCGACGCCGGUAGCAUUUCUCCUUUUCGCCACUCCGACGGUCCAAACGGCGCCGUUUGGCAGAAAGAGCUCUGCCGUUGACAAGAGCUUCGACCCGCACAGACCCACGAAGUUCUGCGGCAUAACCUACAAAGAAAAAGGUGUUUUUUUUUCGAAUGCUCAAUGAAUAGAAAAGCAGAAAGAAAGAAAGAAAGAAUGUUAGUUAAUUAGUUACCAUCUUCUUGGCUUGGAGGACAUGUGGAAGGAUGACUCUCAUGAAACUCUGUUGCGGAGGAGAGGAAACCAGAGGAGAUGAUGGAAAACUAGCUUAGUGUGAUUAAUUGAUUUGACAAACUUGCACGCUGAUACUCCAUUAGAAGCUUUGAGUACGUGGACUUACGAGCCUGCACAACUUCUGGUUUGAUUAGAUGACAAGCGAUCGAGUUCGAAAACUAGCUUGAUAAUAUUAUUCGAGUUUGACACAAUCUUCAAUGUUUCGGCUCAAACUAGAUCUCAAAUUUUAGAUAGCCGAAUAAACUAAGGAGCUAAACUCGAGCAAAGAGAUAAGCUCGAGUCGAGUUUUGAACUAUGCAAGCACUAUCUGUGUGUUCCUUUCUCAUAGAUGUGUAUGUAGGGAUGUAUAUUCGUCAGGUUAGAGUUUUCAAUUGACUCGAGUAGCAAUAUUGUCGAGCUCGAAAUUGAGUCUGACUGAAAAACAACCAAUCUCGAGGCCAAUUCUCUAACCAUCUUUAAACUAGUGUAUAAGAUCAACCAAGACACUGCCAAUUUUUUCCAACACAAACACAGAAAAACAUUUCAACAUCUAGUUCUACACAUAACUAAACCAGAGAGUCAGUUGCAUUUCCCCCCUUCAAUCAGCGGUCCUGAAGACACGAACCUUCAGCACAGUCUUCGCGUCGGAGUCGGACGGAGGAAUCAACUCGAACACACAAACGUCUCCCUCGACUAUCUUGUUGGCUGAACGAAACUGAGACCAUCCACUCAUCUGCCUCAGAUUCAUCCCAACAACCUUGUUGAACACAACCCACCAAGUACGCACCACCCGAUCUGGGUCCGCACCCUCCUCGGAGAGCUGCAGCGUCCCCUCAUCCGAAUCCCCCAAGCAAAAUUUGUUCGUAAACUUCGUUGGCAGACGCUGCACACAUUUCAAAAAACAGUUCCAGAGUAAAAACACAUAAAACAUUUUUGCAGGACAGAUUAGGGUUUAGGGUUUUGUGUAAUUAACCAUGAAUCCAGGGGAUAUGUGAUAACUCGCUAUGACCACCAGCGUAGAAAUGUUGGCCGGAUUCAUCUCCUCCAGAGCUCUCUCGAUCGCCCUCUUGCUGUUCGUAGACACCGUGUCGAAUACCAAGUGGAACUUGUUGCUCUGUACCAUAUUCUCCAUCUUCUUCAGCCGCUCCAACAGUUCUGAGGAGUCUGGGGCCGGGGCUAGUGGUGGAUAAGUUAUCUCCAUUGACGUUGAGCGCAAGAUGAAGACCUUGAGACGGGACGGCUCGAGGUACCUGUUAGAAGAACCAAACGAAAACAUUCACAAGGAUUAUCAAUCUGGACGAGUCGUUUCUUCACUUCUUUAGUUUUUAACAAAUGAUUCCACAUUUCUUCCAAACAUUACCUGAAGAGGAGGAUCUGUUUCAGAGAGAUCGAGUAGAACCUGAGGAAAUCCUCGAAUCCUGAGACGAGCCAGACUCGGUUAGGAUAUCCUUCCUCUGCCUCCAAUCCAACUGUCCAAGUUCUUCCAUCAGCAACUUCCAAUUUCAGCUCGUCGGAACCAGAGAACUCGUCCUUGAAAUUCUUCAUGAACCUCCUAGGAAGCAUCUAACAGAAAGAAGAAGAAGAAAAGUCAUCAUCUUUAAGAAGGAAGAAACACAAAGUAGCCAUCUUUUUCAAAUCAACUUACCAUUUCCUUGUCCUGAAUGGUUUUAGGCAAGAUCACCUUGAAGAAUUGCAGGAAUGGGAAGUUGGCUGCAGACAUGUUUCCUUGUUUCUGGUAAAAGGCAAAGUGAAAAUGGGAAGCUAGAUGUGUUUGGUUUCACAAGGGAGACCAGAUUAUGAAGUUGCUGCUGCUUUUAAAUGUAUCUUUGAUUCUUCAUUUGCAUUUGUCCUGCAUUUGUUGUUCAGUUGUAUUUUCUGCAGGCUGGGAUGAACUUUUUUACUGUGGUAAAUUAUAAGUAAGAGGGGUUAAAAUUAUUGGUCUUGAUUUUCUGUCUCUCUUUCUAAAUAUGGAGUUCUGUGUAAAAUUGUAGAGAAGUGACUCUCUAGCUAAUUUAAAGAAACAAUAAGUUGACUAUACACUUGGCUCAAGGUCUGACAUUUUUCAUAAUACCUGUCUGUUUGCAACUCUUUGCUUUUGCAGGUUGCUGCUCUAGUACUACUGUAGCAGUACACUUAAUGACUUGGAUAGUUGGAUAAUCUUAGGGUUUCAUAUGAUAUGAGCAGAAUCGAAUUGAAUAUUCUGCCAGCUUUGACUUGUUUAGUAUCAUAAAUAAUCUCGAGCACGGCUCGUUUGUAACCUUAAAUAAUAUCAAGCUCCACCCUUUUACACCCUUAACGAGUUCGAAUUAAUAUCGCGAGAAAAAAGAAUAUACCUUAGGAAGCAUAUAGUCUGAUCUCAACUAAAAAUUGAAAGAGGAAUAACAAUAAGCUAGAAUUAGAGUUGGGACACCAACAUAUUCACGAGCCAAUGAGCUGGCUUGUGAAUCAGUCGGACCGAAUCACCAUUGGCUCUGACUCAAUUCGUUUUAACUUUCGAGCCCGCUCGCAAACAGGUUUGUGAUCAGCCUUUUUUAUACACUUUUUAUAAAAAAGGAUUUAAGUUUUUUCAGAACAUCUCUGUAUAUUUCUAACUUGGGUAAAUGUCAGAAUAGCUUUUAGAGCAUUGCAGAGCUAGGGUUCUUAGUGAUGUGUCUGUUUUGGUGAAACAUGAUGCUGCUCUUCAAUUACACAAAUGUGCUGGCUUCUGGUUGUGAUAUCUUAUGAUAUAAAAGCUUCAGGCCUUUUAAUUAUUCUUGCUGUCCUUUGUAUUUACUUCUGCAAAAAAUUCUGCAGCUAUUUUGGAGACUUAUCUGGAAAACCCUAAUUGGUGAUUAGUUCUAGCAAUUGAAUCUUAACAUUCAUCAAGUUAGAGUUUUUAAUUGACUCAGAGCUCUACUCGUUUAGUUUCUUUUAUGAUCACAAGCUCGAUUUGAAGCUGCAAAAUAGUCGAGCCUCGAAAUCGACUCGACUGAAAAUGAACUGAUCUCGAAUUCAAUAUUUCUCUCACCGUGUCUAUCGUGAGUAUAAGUCAUCUAGGGCAUACACAAACAUAAUAGGUUUUUGAUAAUGCUGUUUUUUUAUUAUAAAAAGAUAAGUCUUUUCAGAACAUCUAUGUAGAUUUCUAACUUGGGUAAAGAUCAGAAGAGCUUGUUGUUGACAUAGUUCUUUGAAAACCAGUCUUUGUUAAUGUUCUUACUGAAGAAACCAGUUUAGUCCUGCUGAGAUGGUUGUUUAAAAUUGUCGUAUUUGUCACUGUGAUGUGAUUGAUUGAUGGUUCAAAAGAGUUUGAAGAAGGGUUUGCAUCAUUUGCUUGAACUAUGGUUUUAGGGAUCUCUUGAAUGUCUGCAACAUUGCUGCAGCUCAUCAUACCAUCAUAUCUUUCUAUCUUGUCUCGUCUCUCAUUUACUAAUGUACUUAGAUGCUGUAUAGGCUGUCUUUGUAAUAUGAUUGUUAAGAAAAAGUCCACUUUGGACCCAUCAUCGUCAACGAUGAUCCGGAAUGCUUCAGUCCGAUGUCAAAUCCACCCGACCCGCCACCCGAAACUUUGGCAUUCACUCGAUUCCCAGCUUUCAUCCUCAGCUCUUCCACAAUUCUAUUUGGAACAGUCUGCAAAAAAAAACAAAAAACGAAACAGAGUGUAAAUAAAACAGAGUGUGUGUUCUUCAUAUCCUCGACCUCCGAUUCCGACAGAAAUCCCGAAACCCGCUGGAAUUCGAAUUCGGAAAUUUUCCACCACUCCAAAUAAAAUUCGGCGGGUGGAUUAGCGGAAUUAAAUCCCAAAAUCUGUCGGAAUUAGGGAUAUCGGAAUUGGUCAUCAAAUCCGGCAAUUCCACAUCCAAUUCCGGCGCCGGACAAAAAAAAAACAAAAAGGCAGUUCCUCUCUUACAAUGCGGUAGGUCUUUUUGAGUUUUUUCCCCCGCACGGAUUCAUCACGACGAUGAAAGAAGGAACCGCGUCGUCUUCCCGCUUGUUCUUCAUCGCUUCUUGCAUAGCCCUCUUGCUUUCCGAAGAUAUUAUUGGGAAUGUCAUACAGCUGAAUUUAUUGGCCACAUGGAUUCCUCUUGCCGCCAGUUCAUCCAGCAAAGCCUCGCAUUCGCCGGCGACGACGGCCGGCGGUUGUGGUGUGUAGAGGAUCUUGGACAUGGACAGAUCGAAUAUCCGGAUGUUGAACCUCGAUUCGCCGACGUACUCGAAAGCGAGGACGAACUUCUCCUUGAUGGAGUUGUCAUCCAUGAACUUGGACCACCCUGUUUUGAACCAGAGGUCAUUGUGGUCUUUUCCUGCGGUUAUGCCGGCUUCGAAUACCGUGCCGUUCGGCAGGCAGAGCUUUGCAUUUGACCACUCCUUCAUCGCCAGCUUCCUUCCGUGCUUUGUCGCGAACUUGAUCGGCAGCGGCUGUGGAAAAAGAGGGGAAAAACAGAGGAAGCAAAAAACAGAGAAUGUGAGAAACUUCAAUAAGUAAUAACUUAUUCAGUUUGUUAAAGGAAGUGAAAAUUUAAAGAACUAGAGGUUUAAAGAAUGAAAGAAUACAGAGAUGUAAGUGAAAGAUUUAUUUGUAGUUUUUGAUUUCAUUAUUUACAAAAUUCCAGAUCCAAAAAUAUCGAUAAUUGAAGCUUAACAUGAAAACUACUUGCAGCUGCAAGGAUGCAACAACAAUGACAGGCAAAUCAACAACAAAAUAGUUAUUAAAAUCAAAAGCAAUUCAAUUUAAACGAGCUGACUCGAUAAUAUACGAGCCGAGCUCAAUUCGAAUUUGGCUCGAGCUAGCAAAGUGGCAACUAUGAGCAUAGGGGACUCAUGAAUGAAGCCACGGCGGUGGUUAACCCCAAAACGUUCUCUAGUGGUGACAGGGAGUUAAGCAUCCCUCGUCCUAGGUUCAAAAACUUGGUAAAUCACCUACCUAUGGAAGUGAGACAUUGAAGCAACUGAACUCAGCUGAGCUAGUCAAGAUCUUAUGUUGGAGUUAAGAAAGCAUUGGAAGCUAAAUGUACUAUCUCCGAUCCUUCAAAUGAGACAAGGUGCAAGGCUACUUAUCAUUUAGGAAACAACAAAGUAGCCAACUACAGUAAUAUAAUAGGAGGAUACGAGAGAACAAGAAUUUUUUGAAGCAAUUAAGAGUAGAGGGGGGAGAACUGAACUCACUUCAUGAGGAUAUCGUAAUACUCAGAGUCCAAUGAGGUCAGCAUCCCGUCCACAUCUUUGAUCGCCAUAAUCGCUCUAUGAACCACUAUCCAAUUCGCAGACUACAGCACGUAAAAGUAGAAGAGACAACUUUCUCUGCUAAUAAGUUUGGAUCGGAAGAUGAAGAACUCAUCAAAUCGUUACGGAGGAACAGAAAAAGGGAGGAAACUAACGGACCUUGCAUCGCUCAUCGCCAGUCUUGGGAGGCGAUCCUUCAAGCGCUGUCUUGAGCGCUUCCACUGGCUUGUACCUGGUCUUUCAUGGAGAAAGAGGAAUUAGAGGGAAACAGUGAAAGACGGAGGAAGAAGACGUAGGGGGUAUGUAUAUAUCUGUUGGUUUUACUGUUUGAGUAAGCUCUCGAUCUUGCGAGACUUGUGUUCGAUUCUGGUAAUGAUUGCCUCGGCGUUCUCUGCUUCCACAAAUCCGUCAGCACCGGCCAUUGUUGCUUAUUGCCAAUUGUCCAAUUUGGUUCCGUCCAGCUAUAAUUGCCAGACACCCACUUCGCCGCUCCGGUGAGAAACGGUAUAAGUUUUUUCCAAGAUCUGAACUUUGCUGACUUCAACAAAUCUGGAAAACGCUCAGAGGAAGAAGAAAAUGCUCCAGUUGCAGCUAAUCAUGGCCGUUCAUCAAAUUUAAUGGUUUUUGUUAUUCCAGUAGAUAGCAAAACGGGGCAAAAGGUAGUCGGCCUAUUGGAUUGCAAAAAGUGAAAACUAUUCGGUCAAGUUAUAUCUUAUUGUUGUGGUUGAACCGAAUCGCUCGCUCGGUUCAAAAAAUGUUAAUUUUCAAACCCAACUGGAUUUGAAUGAAUUAGUAAUGAUUGAAUUAGGAUAUACUUGACUCGGCAAGCUUGGAGGCUGAUAAGCUCGAUUAUGUGGAUUCAUAAGCCUGCAACACUUCUAACUUGUACGAGUGGUAUUUCAAGCGCGCAAAGCUCGGAUUGAGCUCAUCGAAAAUGCUUAUACCAAACCGAGCUUGAGUUGUCUCGAGUUCAGCACCAACUUUAGUGUUCCUGCUCGAACUAGACCUCAAGUGUAAGCUAUCUUAAAAAUUAACGAGCCGGACUUGAACAAAGGGAUGAGUUCGACUCAAGUUUGAACUAUGCAAGCCCUAUCCUUGUGUUUAUUUCAAGAGAUUACAAAUUGUUAUAUAAACAACAUUCUUCUACUUAUCCACAUUUUCAAAACUCAGAAACAUAACUACUGUGGCCACAUGCCCUAGAACAAGCUUAGCCUUAACUUCUAUGCACGAACUAUGUCUGACUCGUGGGUGUGCCGGAGUACAAGGUACGCGAGUUUCUGAUGGAACUCUGGAGAGCCGACUGUCCACCUCGAGAAACUGCAAAGAGGAAUCAAAUAAUUCGGUUCAGAUAACUUGUAAACUAAGCAGCGUUUAAGCAGGAACCAACUGAUGUGUUCGGUUGAGUAUGUCUAUCUUGCAGGUUCGAGAUUCGGAGAAGCUAGAGGAGCAUAAGGUCGAGAUCGAGAGUGUCUACUAGAUGGAGUCGACAUUUCGAUAUAAUCCCGGAAAGGACUAAUCCAAACCAUCUGGUAUUCGGCUCUCAAGACAAUGUGCUCCAGUUAAAGCCCCUCUCCACUUGGAAGUGCUACUGUGAAUUUCAGUAGCGGAAUGAGAGCAAAAGGAAGCUCGGACAAUUUUUGUUCCCCGAGCUUCUACAGUAGAACCCAUAACGGAAGCUGUCAGCAUGAUCGCAUACCAAAUUGGAGCAAUGGAGAUGAAAUCGAGAAGAGAUGAAGGAGAGGAAGAAAGAAGAAGAAAGGCCAUGGAUGAAAAAGAAGUUGGGGAAGGAGCUUGUUACGUUACUGAGUUUUGUAGUCACGAGGGAGUCAAGUUUUGGGCACAAAAGAUUCCUACUUUAUGAUUUUGGUUGGUUGAUGCAUCAGCAUCACAAACAACGACAAAUCAACAUUAGCCCACCAACACUACUUCUAUGGGUCCCUGGGUAAAAAGAACCUAUCUUGGUUGUGAUCUGAUGAUAUCAAAUUCUUCAGCUUUUAUGUAUUUGGUUCUGCAAAAACUCUGCAGUUUUUAGGAAUCUUAUCUGGAAAAUCCUAACUGGUGUACUUAUUGUUAGUUCUAGCAAUUGAUUUUUUAACAGCUAGUUUAGUAAUGGCUUUUGUUAUACAUAUGAUUGUGGAAGUCUUGGUUUAAACAGCCACAUCACAAUGGCAUUAUACGACUUGUCGUCUUGUCAUUAGGGACUGGUUUAGUUGAUGUGGAAUGAAAAAAGAACCCAUCAUCCUAUUUUGUUAAAAAUAAAUGAUCUUGCAAGUUUAGGAGAUGGAAUAAAUUGAUUAAAGGAAUGAGCCCUAAUCAUUUGUGGAAAACCAUAGCAAAAACCGAAUCAGUUGACAGAUUUCAGUUUCGGUUAGUGAUUAUGCAACCGAAUUGGAAACGGAGUAGUUGAGCUCCGCUGAUUCCUUCAAGGAUUAGCUUUUUGAAGAAGAAGAAUUCAAGGAUUAGUUGAUAACUACAUAUAACUAGUUAUCUUACACAAAAAUAACAGAUCUGGAAAACCAGCCAUGAACAGAUAUUGAUACUAAGAAUCAUCAACUCAAGAUCUGUUUGGUUCUGAUCCAGCUUGAAGUUGGCUUGACUGGAACAAUCUAUUUACAGCCCUAGUGUCUCAAGCUCACAAACAGAAACAAUAGAUUAAGAAAAAACAGCAUCCUAAAGAAGAAUUGGAUCUGAAAAUGGAGGAAAGGAUUCUUCUUUUAUAGACAAAUCAUCAACCAGUUGGACUCUCGAUCAGCAGCGGAAUCUAGUGUCGACCAGCAGCUGCUGCGGGCGGAGGAGGAAUAGGCAUCCGAUGGUGGUUCAGGUUCAUGUAGCCUGCAGAACUGUCCAUGACUCGGAACACGGUCACUUUCAGAACAACAUCCCUCGACUUGAGCAUCUCGAAAACACACACAUCUCCUUCCCCGAUGUUGUUCUCCAACGUGAACUCAUACCAUCCUUGGCUUAGUUUCGCUCUACCUCCCUUGUAGAGACACCGGACGGGCCACUGUUUCCCGUCGGUGAACUGGAGCUUGAUGAACCCUGAAACGCCGUUCAGAUUCUUCUCCGCGAAGCUGGAUGGUAGAUACUGGCAAAAGAAAUCGAACGGAACUUUUUAUAAAGUCACAAGCUUUAUCAGUCAAAAUGAGUAAAGUCAGCAAGCUUUAUCAGUCAAAAUGAGUAAAGUCGCAAGCUUUGUCAUAAGCUAUAUCAGUCAAAAUGAGUAAAGUCGCAAGGUUUAUCAGUGCAAUGACUUAAAAACAAUGGUGUCUAGUUGGCUGGCUCACCAUGAUGCAGCCCCUGUACAAAUAAGACGGUCGCAACACAACCCGGCAGAAAGGAUUUUCGGGCUCGAACAUUUUGGCUGCACUUAUAGCUCUUUCCCUCUCUUCAGCAGUCACCGUUCGCUUUCUCGCAGAUGCACUUUCAUAGAAUCUAAACUUCAUUUCUCCAUCCUCUUGGGGCCUUGCAGCUGAGGCCUGCUCCUCAUCUGCAGCUUUUUUCAUUCAGGAGAGAGACUUAAUAACAGAUUUUUGAAACCAAGAUUCAGUUGAUAGAAAGAUUCAGUGAAAAGAUUCUCCUGAAACUUACUAGGAUCGGGUUUUUUCCUUUUUCUUCCGCGCUUCUUAGGAACCUUAGCUGGUGGUGCAGCAUCUGAAGAAGCAUUCUGUUGAUGAUCAAAUGCAUUGACCUGAAGAUUCGGUUCCACAACAGGUUGACUUGCUGGCUGCGGAACGUUGUUGACUCUCGACAAAUGUGCAUUGUUCGCUUCAUAAUAUAUAUAUUGCAGUCAGAAAGUCAAUCAUUAGUUCUCACGUGCAUAUCUGUUGGAAAAUUGAAAAAGUACCAACCUUUCAUUGCGUAAGGAACUUGGUAAACGGGGACGGAGUUCAAGUAUUCGGAGGAGUCCUCGUCGUCCAGAGUGUCAAAAAGAAGGCAUCUUUUCCCACUGAGAGUGUUAGUUUGAUAGUUUAUCUCAGAGGCAGACAAAUUGAACAUAUGAACAUUGAAGAUUGCAUUUCCUUCGUAUCUGAAAACCAGCAAGUAGCCAACACGAAUCGAGUAACUCUCGACAAAGUCAUUCCACCCAUCAUGAAACCAAAACUUGUCGUCAGCUUUUACUAUUCCUAUGCGCCACACAUGACCGUCAGGGACAGUCAGUCUCACAAGAUGGGUGAGGUCAUUUGCAAAUUUCUUGAUAAAAUUAUCUGGGAUCCUCUGCAUGCAGCUAAAUGUUAGGUUAGGUCCCAUUUUUCUAACAAAGUUUAGCAUAAUCAUUGACAACCUUAUGUUAAAGAAACUAACUUUUUGCCACACGAAACACAAAAGGCAUUUCGGAAAAGCAAUCACAUGAAGGCAGUAGAGUUGUGCACCAAACUAUAUGGGAUAACAUCGAUGUAACAAAAAAUGAAAGACUUCUAUGCAGUAAAUGAUGGACGAUGUAAGCAUAAUCAUAGCUAACUUUUCAGAAGAUGAGAACAAAGGCAUUAGAGGCAAGAGAAGCAUAUCAAGUGAAGUUAUGGAAGAAAAUCAAUUGGAUGCAGGGCAUAGUAUACCUAUGCACCAAACUAAAAGGGAUAACAUUCAUUUAACGAAAGCUGAAAGACUAUAUGUGCAGUAAAACUCGUACUCAAACGAUGGAUGAUUCUAACUUACUAAGCAUGUCUGGAAUCAGAACACUCAAUUCAAACACGACCCUCAACUCGAUUAAGUAAUCACUUGCAACCUUGUAUUCAUCACCAACUUUUCGACACACAGAAAAAGAAGGAAUUUGGGAAAAGGUUUUGCAUAUCAACUAUCAAGUGACAGAUAUGGAAGCACCGAACGAAGAAGGAUAGCAUUUGCUGUAAUGAAACCUGAAAGACUUCCUAGCAACAAUGCUUACCAAAGCAUAUUUCGGAUCAAAACACUUGAUUCACACACGAUUCUCAUCUCAAUUAGGUACACAUAGGACAAGUCUGAACAGAACGGCAGGUUAGUCGAAGUCCCAAAACAGACUGCAACUAUCACCAAAGUGCAACUUAUAGAAUUCAAGACUUUUGAGAUCAGAUAAACAAAGUGCAACAUACAACUAGCAUAUCUGAUAAGUUUUGAAAAUGACUGCAAGUUAGGUGAGUCACAAGUACAUUCAUCUGCCAUCAAACAAAGCAAAUUGCAAGUCAAGGAAUCCAAGACAUUUGAGAUCAUAAAACUUAGCAGCAACCACAUCCCCACAGCCAACAAAAGAGGCCUUUUUCUUCUUCUUUUCAAAAACCCUAAUCAACAAAAUCCACCAAAGAAAAACACACCACUUCCAUACCGCACUCAUCAAAGUCUCAAGCUUUCCCCCAAACCCAAAACAAUCAAGACUCCACAGUCCAAACCAGCUGACACUGACAAACAGAAUCUCAUCACAUAGAGCAAACAAGCCAAGCAAUUGAAAGGUGGAAGUAAAAGGGACGGAGAGAGAAAGAGAGAGAGAGAGGGAAAGAGAGAAUUAGGGAUUGUUUACCAGCUUCCUGCCCUGAAGAGUUCUGGGGAGAAUUAUCUUGUGGAAGUAAGGCCUUGACGGCAUAAUUUCUUUUUGGUGUUAUUUCGGCGACUUUAUUGGGUGGGUUGUAAUUAUAGUGAUGGAGAAGUGAAGAAAGAUAGCGAGAGGGGGAAAUGGGUCAAUCAGAUCAUGAUGAUAAGACCACCAGCCCCAAUCUGAAAGAGAAAGGCGACAGAAAGAAAGAAAAGAGAAAGAUAUUGAAAGUUUUUGUCUCAGAUCUACAGCAGCUGCUCCAUCACCAAUAACUACUCUUCUUCCUCCUCCUCUCUCACUUUACAGAGUUACAGUCAAAGAACAGUGCUUUGCUACUGCUACUGCUACUGCUUUAAAAACCUUAACAAACGUUAGCUUGACCUAAAAAAAAGUAGUUGAACGAGUUGAGUUUUGCUUUCCCUGGCCUGGUUUUUGGUUUUUCCAAGCGACUCAGUUGGCUGACUCGGAUAUCAGAAUCCCUUGCAUAAAUUUAUUGAUUAAUUGAUUGAUGUCUUCUUGUGUUAUUUUCUUCUUCUUGGUGGGGGGGGGUUGCUUUUUGUUUUUAUUUUUUAAUCAUUUUCUUGUGUUUAUCCUCGUGACUUGCACGUGCAAUCUGGUACAACAGCCGGGUCGGACUUUGGUUGGACGGUUGACUCAAAUGCUAUGACAAAAUUCUGCGGGCCUCGGAUGCUACUUCAAGUCCGGGUACACUCUCUAUUUACACUGAUUCUGUCGAAUUAACAGGUUGCUCAACUCUUUGAAUGUUGCCUCCUUCUCACUGUCAUUCUACAAAAGCUGAAAGCCUAUAUGCACAGUAAAACCGGUACUCAAACGAUGGAUGAUUCUAACUUACUAAGCAUGUCUGGAAUCAGAACACUCAAUUCAAACACGACCCUCAACUCGAUUAAGUAAUCACUUGCAACCUUGUAUUCAUCACCAACUUUUCGACACACAGAAAAAGAAGGAAUUUGGGAAAAGGUUUUGCAUAUCAACUAUCACCAAAGGCAUAAGAGGAAGAGAAGCAUUUCAAGUGAAGUUAUGGAAGAAAAGCAAUCGGAUGCAGGGCAAAGUAUACCUAUGCACCAAACUAAAAGAGAUAACAUUCAUUUAACGAAAGCUGAAAGACUAUAUGCACAGUAAAACCGGUACUCAAACGAUGGAUGAUUCUAACUUACUAAGCAUGUCUGGAAUCAGAACACUCAAUUCAAACACGACCCUCAACUCGAUUAAGUAAUCACUUGCAACCUUGUAUUCAUCACCAACUUUUCGACACACAGAAAAAGAAGGAAUUUGGGAAAAGGUUUUGCAUAUCAACUAUCACCAAAGGCAUAAGAGGAAGAGAAGCAUUUCAAGUGAAGUUAUGGAAGAAAAGCAAUCGGAUGCAGGGCAAAGUAUACCUAUGCACCAAACUAAAAGAGAUAACAUUCAUUUAACGAAAGCUGAAAGACUAUAUGCACAGUAAAACCGGUACUCAAACGAUGGAUGAUUCUAACUUACUAAGCAUGUCUGGAAUCAGAACACUCAAUUCAAACACGACCCUCAACUCGAUUAAGUAAUCACUUGCAACCUUGUAUUCAUCACCAACUUUUCGACACACAGAAAAAGAAGGAAUUUGGGAAAAGGUUUUGCAUAUCAACUAUCAAGUGACAGAUAUGGAAGCACCGAACGAAGAAGGAUAGCAUUUGCUGUAAUGAAACCUGAAAGACUUCCUAGCAACAAUGCUUACCAAAGCAUAUUUCGGAUCAAAACACUUGAUUCACACACGAUUCUCAUCUCAAUUAGGUACACAUAGGACAAGUCUGAACAGAACGGCAGGUUAGUCGAAGUCCCAAAACAGACUGCAACUAUCACCAAAGUGCAACUUAUAGAAUUCAAGACUUUUGAGAUCAGAUAAACAAAGUGCAACAUACAACUAGCAUAUCUGAUAAGUUUUGAAAAUGACUGCAAGUUAGGUGAGUCACAAGUACAUUCAUCUGCCAUCAAACAAAGCAAAUUGCAAGUCAAGGAAUCCAAGACAUUUGAGAUCAUAAAACUUAGCAGCAACCACAUCCCCACAGCCAACAAAAGAGGCCUUUUUCUUCUUCUUUUCAAAAACCCUAAUCAACAAAAUCCACCAAAGAAAAACACACCACUUCCAUACCGCACUCAUCAAAGUCUCAAGCUUUCCCCCAAACCCAAAACAAUCAAGACUCCACAGUCCAAACCAGCUGACACUGACAAACAGAAUCUCAUCACAUAGAGCAAACAAGCCAAGCAAUUGAAAGGUGGAAGUAAAAGGGACGGAGAGAGAAAGAGAGAGAGAGAGGGAAAGAGAGAAUUAGGGAUUGUUUACCAGCUUCCUGCCCUGAAGAGUUCUGGGGAGAAUUAUCUUGUGGAAGUAAGGCCUUGACGGCAUAAUUUCUUUUUGGUGUUAUUUCGGCGACUUUAUUGGGUGGGUUGUAAUUAUAGUGAUGGAGAAGUGAAGAAAGAUAGCGAGAGGGGGAAAUGGGUCAAUCAGAUCAUGAUGAUAAGACCACCAGCCCCAAUCUGAAAGAGAAAGGCGACAGAAAGAAAGAAAAGAGAAAGAUAUUGAAAGUUUUUGUCUCAGAUCUACAGCAGCUGCUCCAUCACCAAUAACUACUCUUCUUCCUCCUCCUCUCUCACUUUACAGAGUUACAGUCAAAGAACAGUGCUUUGCUACUGCUACUGCUACUGCUUUAAAAACCUUAACAAACGUUAGCUUGACCUAAAAAAAAGUAGUUGAACGAGUUGAGUUUUGCUUUCCCUGGCCUGGUUUUUGGUUUUUCCAAGCGACUCAGUUGGCUGACUCGGAUAUCAGAAUCCCUUGCAUUAAUGUAUUGAUUAAUUGAUUGAUGUCUUCUUGUGUUAUUUUCUUCUUCUUGGUGGGGGGGGGUUGCUUUUUGUUUUUAUUUUUUAAUCAUUUUCUUGUGUUUAUCCUCGUGACUUGCACGUGCAAUCUGGUACAACAGCCGGGUCGGACUUUGGUUGGACGGUUGACUCAAAUGCUAUGACAAAAUUCUGCGGGCCUCGGAUGCUACUUCAAGUCCGGGUACACUCUCUAUUUACACUGAUUCUGUCGAAUUAACAGGUUGCUCAACUCUUUGAAUGUUGCCUCCUUCUCACUGUCAUUCUUUCUGUAUUGCCGCUUAUUCAGUUGCAUGAGGGCUCUUUAUUAUCCUCACAUUAGACGAAAUGUCGCUCCCUUCUCACUGUCAUUCUUUCCGUUUCCAUUUUAUAUGUACCUAGUCGGAAUAAUUAUACCGCACAUUCAAUGACAAAGAACUGGUUCUUCAUUAUCCUGACAUUAGUGAUCGUUGUUUACAUACCGGCACUACUACCGGACUGUAAAUUGGAAAAUGGUGAAACAUUUUAAUUGAAUAAAAAAAUAAAAUUAAUAAUAUGCCUGUCGUUAACUUGUAAAACAGAAGGAGAUAUUCACAACAUUGAUCUCCUCUUCUAUACAAAACUGAAACAAACUCAAGAAAAGAAUGUACAUCUCUGUACAUGCCAAAACUGAACCAACUCCUCACCAUCGGCGAGCAAACUAGUUUGUAGAAUCCGACGCCACGAACGGUAUCAUGGACCAGUUGUUUCGUAUAGACAGGAACGAGUGCUUUUUGAUGUCAAAAGACGAACUCUGUUGUUGGUUGCGGCCAGAAGGUUCGAGAACAGCACCCCUCUCCAUGGAUGUCAUCAUGGAGAUUUUGUCAACCUAGAUGAGUCAGGCAUUGUCCUAUGCGGGGUUUUGUACAGGCAUCUUCUCGUGAAGCUCGCGCAGGAGGUCUCGAAGCUCGGGGAACACAGUCACGAGUAAUAGUUCGAGGAUCGCAAAUGCAAGUUGCUUUAUGCAGAUGGUAGACUGCAUUUUGUACGGAUCGAGUGACGAGCAAGCAACAGCCGUAACAUGGAUUAAGAAGAAGAAAAUUCGAAAAGAGGAUCAAACCUGAGUGAAGUAAUAGAUAUCUCUUGCGCAUCGCCUGUAUUGCUUAGCCCCGAUCAAACUCACUAAGGCUGUUGGAACUCCAUCUGAUGAACACAAAAGGAAGAAGAAAAGCUUUCAUUUCCAGGCAUUACGUUCCAAAAUGCGCGCAAAGGAUUUCCAAUUCGGUCAAAGCCACAUCAGAAACUCGAUCGAGAAGCAUAAAAGAUUGAAGAAUUUGUUACUUCUUACCGAAGAGUGUUUUCCUGAUGUAAUUUGCUCUGCGAGAAGCUUCGAGCUGUUCCUCGAACGUGCUCUGCUUAGGCCCCUUGCUACCACCAAACUGUCCCAGCUGAAAUGAAUUAAGGUUUUGUUGAGGUUCAUCGGCUUUGCAAUGAGGAACCCCGAUUUUUGUAAAGAAAAUUCCAUUCGGCCAGAGAAACUGAAAAAAGAAACGUAUUCCGUCAUUAGGUUACAGAGAGACUGCCAAAGGAGAACGUAUAAUCUCCAUUGCUGCUAACCAAUGACUUACAUCUUGCACCCAGCUGAUUCCUAAAGCUAUAGUCUCCUCUCUCCGAAGCCAAUAGAUCUGUCCCAAGAGCCAGUCGUCGAUGGCAUCUUCCAUCAUCAACUGUACUAUCUGCUUCGAUAUCCAAAAUACCUGUCUCCUGAAACGACGAAUUCACGCCUUGACAUGAGUUAUAUGAGAGCCCUACAUUUCUCAACCUGUUGUUCCUCUUUGCAAGACUCAAAAGGUGGGAAUUUGAACAAACGAAUUCGGUAUGCCGGAACAAGAAUACAAGAUGAAGGUAAUCAAUCAUCGUAACAGACAGACAAAUUUGAUAAAUGUGGAAAUGAUUAGCUAACCUCAGCCAGCCUCUUCUCUUGAGCUGAAACACCUUGUCAACUAGGUUCAACAGGGGCACACUUACGUUAGGUGGCGUCCACUAGAAGAAAGAGAGAAAAGGAUUAUGAGUUCAGUAAAAUCAACCCUGGAAAACAAUCAAACUAUCUACUAAGAUUUUUACAGUAGAUAUUCCAUUUUAAACGCAUGAAGCAAAACCCAAAUACAACUAAAGCCAGCUAUACCGAUAAACAUUUACUAAUUACUAAUCGUAGCCGUAGUGUUCAGGUCUACUCCAACAAAUAACAUGGUAGCAACGUCAAACCAGAAAAGAAAUUGAUCUAUGCGAUCCUCCAAAUUAGGUAGUCAAAAUGCUGCCAGACACGUACCUCAGGUGGCAUGCCAACUGGAUCCUCGACACGAGAAGAGAUUAGGGCCGAAUUAACUGCUGAGGGCCGACCUUCAUUACUACCAUCAGAUUCCAUGACAGAAUCAUCAUUUUGCUUUAAAUUUAAGCUCCUGGACAUCUCAUCCUGUUUGACUAGUCGACCAGGGGAAGUACUUGAGUCCACUUCAUUAUCUGAAUGCCACCCACUAGCUUGUGCACCAGGUCCGACAUCCUCUUGGUCAUGGUUUUCUUGCUGUUGAGUUUCAUCAUUGUCGGAAGAGGUAUUUUUAGUACCCAUGGUAUUUUGCCUACAUACCACCUUACUUGAGUCAUCUACAUUCCAAGGCGAAUUCCUGUUGUAUCUUGGUGAACUGCUUUCAUCAAAUUGAGAAGCUGAACUGCCGGCUUUACGUCCCCAGCCACCAGAAACGCCUUUAAAUUGACGCAUAAUGUCGUCCACGGCAUCGUCCAUAUUGACUGCUUUUCCAAAGGCAAUCAAGUGAGAAAAUAGGAAUGACUUAAAUAAACCCAUCAACCUUUUUGUAAUCAUUUGGAUGCAUUGACAAAAGAACUCUGACACUAAUAGAGAUUGAUGAUGAUCAUACAAUUUGAACAUACAUAGGCUACAUUCGGUUCUAUAAAACCCUAAUCAUUCCUUCUUAACUUUCCCUUAAUGUAAUAGAUUUUAACCUCUUUUCGGACUCCUUUCACAGUUGCUCCCUAAUCUAGAGGCCCAUUUUCCCUCAAGGAUCAGUGGCAGUGAAGCUGAGAAUAAAUACAAUGGCUAAAGAGGAAACAAGAUCCCAGAUAAAUCACAUACCUGCUAGAGUUUUCAUUACUGAAGAAGAUCUUCCAAAAGAGUAAUUCUACGGAAAUUUUGAAAGCAGAAUUAGAAGUUGAACAGGGGAAAAUAAGGCAGCAAAGAAAACUAACCACAAUAAGAAAGACAACAACUUGUGAGAACAAACGGCAUACCUUGGAGGCAGCACUUAAAAAAUCCCAAACUUCAUGCUGCUCAGCCACAUUAGCUAUAGACAAUAGAUCCUAUAAAACAUAUGCGCUCGAUUAAGUAUCAACGUCAAGUAAAGACUUACAAUAAAAAAAUAAAUGUCAAAGGCUAGAGACAAAGACAACAGUACCUGGAGAUAUUUAUCAAGCUGAAUACAGCGUUGAUGGACGAAAGCAUCCUCUGUGCUUGAAGAGAAGAUUCUUUUUGGAGGCAAAUGCAAUGUAUAGUUUGGUAUCUCUUUAAGCUGUCUGUGCAACCUCUCAAAAUUACUAUAUCUGUAGACAACAAAAAUUGGUGAGAAGAUGUUCAUGACUAAGAGAAGAAAAACAAAACCAACAACAUAAAUUAUACACAGAUUUUACUCUGGUGUCUUAAUAAAAUUCUAGAAAUUCAGAAAUAAUAGUUUGAACCAGCAUCAAGGGGUAGGCUGAAUAGAAAGACACCUUCUCUUUACAAACCAAGUUCUCUGAUCCGCAUCCGUUACUGCUAUCGAAUAAACUGCAAAGGACUUUGACCCAAGCUUUUCAAAGUAUGCUCCCAUGACCUGUCCGAACAUAAUCAACAAAGACGGUAUGGUCAGUAUGCCUCGGGAGUCAUUUUCAAUCUCUCAAACUUUUUCAUCAAGGAAUAUCGAAUACAUACCCUGGACCUGAGCUUUGGAACAUUAGUCGCAUCACUGUGUAACACUAUAUCAGGAAUGAUCUUAACAGCAGGAUCCGAAGCAUGCCCAACAAAAUCUUCACUGUAGUACUCUGAAAUAAUAGAACCUCCAUGUUCUCCUUCUAAUGCCAUCUUCUUUUCAGGCUGGUCUUUCAGAGCAGAAGUGCUAUUUGACCGCUUCAGCUUACCCCCACUUUCAUUCGUAAGAGGUUUGGAAGUCUUGAAUCCAUCGACGAUAUCAGCGCCAAGAGAAUACUCACUACUCUGACCUGCUAUAAAAUGUUCUUCAUUUCUCUUUUCAAUGACUACAGAAUUUUUUCAGGUGUGAGAACUUCAGUUCUUCUCUGUGUUGCAGCCUCUAGCAUCUUCCCCCAAACGGCAUGGCGUGGAGAGUCUGGGUGAUCUACACCAUCAUCCAUUGAGGUGUCUUCAUGAGUUCUAGACUUAGUUGGAGUUAUGGCACUAGUAGGAUCCAGUGUAGAGCAUUUCUGCGAGACAGAUGCUCCACUGUUUGCAAACCCACUGGCCUGAUCAUUUCCUGUGUUCAUUGGGUUGUUAUCUAUAACGGCAAGCAAGAUUAAUUCAAUCACCUCAUUGAUAUACCUGUUUUCAGGAAAUAACAGGAGUUAUACUCUUUUAAUAGAAAGUCGUUUAUACAUGAAAGCUGGAUGAGAAACCAUGAAUGAUGAAUAUGAAAGAAGCUUCCUAGAGAUGAGAAACAAAAGAAAAUUUUACUUACACGGGGCUUGCAAGAUUCAAAACUGGUUGCAUUACCAAGCAAGUAACAAUCUCUCUGGCAAUAGUCCGCACCAAGGGGGAUUGAGCUUCUCGUGGUCUUAACACUACUGCUAAAACGCCAGACAUUAUCCGCUGAAGAACCUUUGGGAAGAUGAAGAAAGGAAAGCAUUAACAUUAAUGAAUACAAACCAUGAAAUAGAAACAGGAAAUCGAAAAGGACACACUCACACCUUAUACUCACUCUCUGGAGAUAUCAAAGCUGGAUGGAGCUCAUUUGAUUCCAUUAGAUGAUGUUUCAGCCUUUCAUCUCGCUCCUCAGUUGAGAGAGUUCUCAUUACAUCAACACCAAUUGCUGCUUGAUUCCGUCUAAAGAGAUCCAAGUGAUCACCUAUUAAAUCAAGUAUAUCCCUGCAAAACAAUCACUCAUCAAAUUCCACCCUCAAAUCCCGACAGCCCCAAAUUAUCACCUCAGGCAUCAUAUGAAAUUAAGAAUACCUUGUAAGCAUAUCAACAACGUUAAUCUCUUUAACUCUCCCCGAUAUCUCACCAAGGGCAUCCAUUAUCACUCCACGUAUCAACUCUGGGGCAUCCUUGUCAGGCGUAAUUUCAGAGUACCAGAGAUCAACCACAAAGUCCUUCAUUAUCUUAUCAAUAAAGUCAUUGACUGAAGCCUCCACCACAGGUGAAUCAAUCUUCCUCCUCCAUCUCGGUGGAGGCGGUGCAGAAGAAAGCCGCGAAUCAUUCACGGAUAAUUGCUUCUUUUCCAAAUGAGACAGAUACGAUUGUGGCCGGACUAAGUUGCGUGGCUUCCAGUAAAACUCCACUUCGUUAGACAGUAUCCGCAAUGCAGCAACAAUGAGGAUUGAUAUUGGAAGGUUAAUCCACAUCGACGAACUCGUAUCUGCAACGAAUCGAACAUAAUUUAAGCAUUUUAACACAUCAGAACCUAAUAAUCCAGUUUAAUGAAUCGCACGGCAAUGAAUUGUGUCACCAAGUAAACAAAACACAGCGUUGCCAUUUCCACGUUCAUCACAUAAUGAUAAGUCCAAGUCCAAACAAUUUAUCCAAUGCCGAAUCAGAAUCCAAUACAGAACAGAAGCAAAAGGCGGAUUGUAACUCACGAGAUAAGAAGUAAGUAAUGGUGAAGAUGCACAACGCCCACCACACCGUCCGAACCUUGGCUUCCUCGAUCAGAUCUUCAAUUGUCUCCAUCGACUUCAUAUUUUUUCCUUCUAACUUAAUAAAUUACCUAUCUCUAAACCCUAAUCUAUCAUCCGACCUCUGAUUCUACUACGAACCUGAGAGAGGAGAGAAGAAAAGGAAGGAUCCACGGAACAAUUCCGUUGACCGCAAUUGAGAUCCAGAGAUCGGCAGUUGAGAAGUUCGUUUGCAGCUACAAAUUUCUACCGCCUGGAAAUUUAAAAUCGAGAGAGAGGGUGUAAUUAUUUUUGUUUCGGUCGAAUUUGCCGCCAGCUCGCCGCCACGGUGGCGCUCCCCGGGAAAAGGUGUUCUGGGCUGUAAUUUGUUCCUUUCUCUUCUUUUCCAAUUUUUCUUUUUUGUGAAAUUUGACUUUCUUUGUGUGAAAUUUGUUCUAUUUUGUGGUCAUUGUAAAUUAAUUAAAAAAAUAACUUUUCCUACCUAAAAAAAUUAACAAGUGACACGAUACAUUACACACAAAUAUAAUAAUUGUUUAGCUGAUGCAGCUUAAAUUAUUAUUUCAAAAAUAUCUACUUCAAAUUCAGUUAUUUUACAAACCACAUAUCGUUUAUUUUUUUCUAUCUUCUUACUUUGUUGAUUUUUAGAAAAUAUGCAAUAAUAAGUUAAAAUAUUAGACCUUUUACCAUAUAUAAAGGAAAUAUAUAUGGUUAUUUGUGAAAAUAUAUAUACGGUAUAUUUAUUAUAUAAAUUUGUACAUGUUCUUUAACAAUAGUUCAAUUUAUUUCAAAAUUUUUGCUAAAUAUAGACAGAUAACAACAUGAGUAAAGCACCCAUCACAUAAAAUGUUGACUUUUUUAUGAUAUGGAUGUACAAUUAGAACUUUUGAGUUUCGAUUAUCAACGUAUAUGAAUUGUUUAGUAAUUUCAACACCUUAAGACUCCUAAUAAUUGAGAAAUUUCUUUUGAGCAUGUUUAUCGAAAAAAUAAUAUUAUAUGGCGAACUAUCUUGCCAACUUGGAAGUUGAGACAUACACAGUUAAAGUAAGACACUCAUGCAUGUGUUUAUCCACGUAUAAAUUUAUAGAUUUUCUUUAACAAGAACUUAACUUGUUUCACAAGUUUCGUUUCCCAAUUUCGUUUCCAGCCACAUACACAUAGAUAGAAAAAUUAAUUAGAUAACCUAAAUCCACCAAAUGAUCAUCCCAACGGUUAUAGCCAAGCAGACCAACAUCCAUUUCAUGUCAAUGUUACAGUGUUGGAUUACCAAAAAUUGACGACAAAAUUAGUAAAAUUCAUACCUUUACACAUAUCCAUCGCUUACCGGGUGAUUAUAUACGCAAUAAUCGCCAAAAAUCAAGUAAAAUACAUAGGGUAACACAUAUCCAUCGAUAAAUCGGGUUAUUAUAUACACAAUUAUCGUAACUCAUAAAAUCAAAGCCAACACAUCAUCAACAACAAGACCAUCCUUCAAACCGUAGAGCUACUCUAUAUUCACAUAUACCUACCCUAACUAUAAAUCGAAAAACCACCACCAUUUUUCGAUCAAUAAUCAAUCGGUCUCAUGGUCAGGCCGGGGAGUGUACCAAGCAGGAAACCUGCUCCUAGCUCUGAGCAACCUGGUAUGCGGAGUAUCAGGCAUUCUAGCUUCCUCUUCCUCGUCGAUCUCCUCCUGCGGCCUCGGCAGCCCGUCCGGGAUCGGGCAUUCUUCCUUCAUCGUCUUCAAGCUUCCUCCUUGCUGAAGAAAAGAGGUGCUGCCACCAUUGUUGUCUGUACUGGUGAGUCUUUUGUAGUUGCUAAACAUUGGUGUCAUGCUGUGUAGGUAGGAGAUCAAGGUUUUCACCCCGCCGGCCUGGUGUAUCAGCAUCUCCACUUCCCGCUCCGGAACCCUUGCCUGAUGAACCAAAACAAUUGAAGGGAAUUGAUCAACAAUUCCAAAUAUUUUAACCGCAAUAGAAUCAUGGAAAAACUCGUCAUUGAGCAGUUUCAAUUGACUGAUGACAGCUGUUAUGGCGGUGGGGAGGAGAUACAUCGGUCCUUCACCGGAUAUACGCCGCCGAGGAAGAUAUGGGGUUGCCGAGUUUUUUCUAAUUCUUUAAUUUCCACAUAAAUGAGUUGUUUCAAAGUAUUUUUCCCGGGUAAAUAGUGGAUCAUUAAAUCCGUGGCCCGAUAGAAUCAGCCCAUAUACAAAGGCCCAGCGGUACGGGUUAUAGAAACGGCCAGGCUGGACCCAAACGCAACCCGACCCGGAUAAAGCCAGCGGGUUGGGUAGUUUCCCGCGUGCAUCUCACGCGCUAAAACUAUCUAAACCUUGAUGGAUUGCCGGGGUCGAGUUUCGGGUCCGGACUGACCCGUUUUCAGCGGCGGUUUCCGUCGUAGUCGAGAUGAAAGAAAAGAGGAAGAAAAUAGAGAGAGAGAGAGAAAGUGAAAUUACUUGGAGGUCCCUGAGCUCGAAAUAGGCUUGCCAGCCGCUGGAAGCAUCGUCUCCUUCCAGAUUCGAGCAGUAAUCUGUCAAACAAAGCGAAAACAAAAUUGUAACCAGAUCCGGAGGCACAUUAAAUAGAGAGGUUAAUUAAAUCAUGUACCGGCGAUCUGGUUGAGGGACUUUUCGAUGAGGGGCGGGUCGGGGAGAGCCCGAUCCAUCUUGCUCCGGCUGAAGGGCUCCAGCUUCGGGACUUUUCCUCUGGAAGCUCUAAUGGCAAAAGAAGAGGAAAUGGUCUUUCUUAAGGGGAUAAAAUCAGAUUUGGGUUGGGGCAAUGGAAGAGGAGGAGGAAGGAGGGCUGAUUUCGUCGCCAUCGCCGUGGAAUUCAUCGGUGAUUUUUCUCUUUCUUUUUCUGGUUAAAGGAGAGUUUUGAUAGAUAAUGGUGAUUGCUAAUUGCAGCAAUAUAGAAAGAGGAAAAGAGAGAGUGGAGUGGAGAGUGGUCAGGACUCAGGUGUGGGUAGGCCCCAGCGUUCCAAAUCAAUGAGUGGAUAAGGAUGAGAUAUUUAUUAAUUAAUGUUUUUUUCGCUUCCUAAUGAUUCGAGUUCAUGAUCUUCAAUCGAUUCAAUUCAUCUCCUAAACAUGCAAAGAUCAUGUCUUUUUAACAAAAUGGAAUGAUGGGUUCUUUUUUUAUUCCACGUCAACUAACCCGAUCACUAAUGACAAAACGACAAGUCGGCUAAUGCCAUCUGAUGUGGCUGUUUUAAACCAGAGCCAUUACUAAUUGCUAGAACUAACAAUAAGAACACCAAUUAUGAUUUCCCAGAUAAGAUUCCAAAAAAACUGCAGAGUUUUCUGCAGAAGUAAAUACAAAGGACACCAAAAGAAUCAUUAAAAGCCUGAAGCUUUGAUAUCAUCAGAUAUCACAACCAGAUUCUUUCUUUUUACCUUUGCAAAGAAGCCAGCACAUUUGUGUAAUUGAAGAACAGCAUCAUAUUUCACAAAAAACAGACACAUCACUAAAAAUCCUAGCUCUGCAAUGCUCUAAAAGCUCUUCUGAUCUUUACCCAAGUUAGAAAUCUACAGAGAUGUACUGAAAAGACUUAUCUCUUUUAUAAAAAAAGUAUUAUAGAAAAGCUCAUCAUGAACAUGUUUGGGAGCUGGCUCGAAAGUUAAAACGAAUCGAGCCAAAGCCAAGGGUGACUGAUUCGGUCCAAUUGAUUCCCAAGCCAGCUCAGCUCGUUAGCUCACAAACAGGUUCGUGUACUCGUUUCCUUGAGAUCGAACUAUACGCUUCCUAAUGUGUAUUUUUAUGCCGCAAUGUAAAUUCGAAACUCAGAAAGGUUGCAAACAGGCAGACAUCUGUACCGUCUAAGGUUAUAAACGAGCCAUGCUCGAACUUAUUUAUGAUGCUAAACGAGCCGAACUCAGACGGGCCGAAUAUUCGAUUCGAUUCUGCUCAUAUGCAACCGUAAGAUUAUCCAACUAUCCAAGUCAUUAAGUGUACUGCUACAGUAGUACUAGAGCAGCAACCUGCAAAAGUAAAGAGUUGCAGACAGAUAUUAUGAUAAAAUCUGAGACCUUGAGCCAAGUGUAGAGUCAACUUAUUCUUUCCUUAACUUAGCUAGAGACUAGAGAGUCACUUCUCUACAAUUUUCACAGAAUUCCAUAUUUAGAAAGAGUGACAUAAAAGCUAGACUAAUAAUAACCCCUUUACCACAGUAAAAGUUUCAUCCCAGCCUGCAGAAGAUACAACAGUAGAAAUUCAACAACAACUGCAAAUGCAGACUCAAAAAUACAUUUAAAACCAGCAGCUGAACAAUCUGGUGGUCUCCCUUGUGAAACCAAACUUAUUAGGUUUCCAUUUUCACUUUGCCUUUUACCAGAAACAAGGAAACAUGUCUGCAGCCAACAUCCCAUUCCUGCAAUUCUUCAAGGUGAUCUUGCCUGAAACCAUUCAGGACAAGGAAAUGGUAAGUUGAUUUGCGAAAGAUGGCUACUUUAUGCUUUUCUCUGUUGAAAGAUGAUGAAUUUUAUACAUCUUUUCUGUUAGAUGCUUCCUCGGAGGUUUAUGAAGAAUUUCAAGGCCGAGUUCUCCGGUUCCGAGCUGACAUUGGAAGUUGCUGAUGGAAAAACUUGGACAGUUGGAUUGGAGGCAGAGGAAGGAUAUCGUAACCGAGUCUGGCUAGUCUCAGGAUUCGACGAUUUCCUCAGGUUCUACUCCAUCUCUCCGAAAACAGAUCCUCCUCUUCAGGUAAUGUUUGGAAGAAAUGUGGAAUCGUUUGUUAAAAACUAAAGAAUCGAAGAAAAGACUCAGCCAGAUUGAUAAUCCUUGUUAAUGUUUGCUUUGGUUCUUCUAACAGGCACCACGAGCCGUCCCGUCUCAAGGUCUGCAUCUUGCGCUCAACGUCAAUGGAGAUAACUUAUCCACCACUAGCCCCGGCCCCUGACUCCUCCGAACUGUGGGAGCGGCUGAAGAAGACGAAGAACAUGAUUUUGAGCUGUAGGUUCCAGUACUGGACACUCGAGGCGAUGUCCGCGAACACAAAGAGGGCGAUCCAGAGAGCUGUGGAGGAGAAGAAUCCGGCCGACAUUUCUACGAUGGUGAUCUUAAUGGCUGAUCAUAUAUCCCCAGGAACCAUGGUGAGACAAAACCAAACCCUACACCUUAAUCUGCCCGUGGAAAAUGUUUCUCUUCACUCUGAGAUUGUUUUAAUUUGAAAGCAUUAACAUGAUUGGUUGGUUGGUUUGUUUAACAAUGUGGAGCGCAGCGUCUUCCGACCAAGUUUACGAAGAAAUUCUGCUCCGGGAAUUCGGAUAAGGUAACGCUCCAGCUGUACGAGGACGGGGCGAAUCGAGUUGUGCGUACUUGGCCGGCUUAUUUGAUUGUUCGGUCGAACCAGAGGCAGGUGGCUAGAUGAAGCAAGUUCCGUGUGGACAACGAGCUGGUCGUGGGAGACCUUUGUGUGUUCCAGCUCAUUCCUUCGUCCGACGAGGAGACUGUGCUGAAGGUUCGUGUAUCUUCAGGGAUGCCGAUUGAAGAAAACAAACUAGUACUUCAAUGGAAACAACUGCUUAAAUGGUUUGUUUUAGCUUAUUGCCCUCUGUUCUCAUUAUGUGUAGAGAACUAACUGGAUGUUCAAAUGUAAUGAAGUUUGUGUCGAAUUCGAGGUAACUCAAGAUCGGCUUGCCAUGACUGUUUCUGAUGAGCUCAAUCCGAGCUUUGUCACGCUUGAAAUACUGGACGUACAACGGCUUAGCAUGAACUUAUCUCAAAAUCUAGAUAGUAAAGCUAAUAAAUUUUUAAUACGAAUUUCAUAGUAGUGACUCAUUAAUCAAGUCGACAUAAUGGUAUAAACACAACUACAAGUUGCACCGUUUUACCUCGUUAAUGAGCGAUAUAGUCGAGCUAGUAUUUGAACUCGCUCUCUAGUCAUCUAAUCAAACGAUAAAAUUAGUGCAUCCUCGUGAGUCCACAUAAUAGAGUCAUUGUGCACGCUUGUCAAGACAUAUCCUGAUUCAACCUCUAAUUCAUUCAAAUCUAAGUCGAACUUGAAAUCAAACAUUUUUUUUCGAAAUCAACGAGCUACUCAGACUCGUAUUUUAAGGGCUGCUGACUGAAAAGAGAAACGACUCGAUGGAAACUAGAUGUUCUUUAUAACUUAGAUAGUUGUUGGUCUCUGGUCUAGUUUGUGUAUAGAUGCUCAAAAUGUUUUCCUGUGUUUGUGUUGAAAAAAUUGACUGUGUCUCAAGUUUAUCCAUAACUAGUAACAAGAUGGUUAAAAAAUUCGCCAAGCGAUAUCAGUUGAUUUUCAGUCGAGCCAGCCGAUUUCGAGCUCGACAAUAUUGCAACUCGAAUCGAGCUGGUGAUCGGAAAAAACUAACGAGUAGAGCUCGAGCUAUGUGUAAUUUACUUUGGUAAAAAAAUCAGUAAUUUACCUUCUUUUCCAGCUGUUGGUCAUUUACAUUUUCUCACUGUUCAGUAAAAUCAGCUUCAGAGCGCUUCCGUCAUCUUUGACAUUCAAUGAUGUGCUGCUAUACUAGCUGUUGAAACUUUAUCUAGGGUUUCCAUAAUUCAAACUCGAGUCCAGCGACCCUUUCUCAAGUUCGGCUCGUUAAUUUUUACGUAGGGUGAGCGGGAACGAACACCGAAGGCUAUAGGUACUUUUGACAAGCCAUGAACCUCAACUUAUCUAAUCACGGACGCAUUAGUAUUUCGAUAUGCUCGAUUACGAGUAGGGUCUACAAUGUAAAACACAAGUUACAACCAUUGAGCUCAUUAACGUGGAAUAUACUUGAGCCAAUAUUCAAACUCGAUCUCUAAUCAUCUAUUCAAAGCAUCUAAUGGAGGGAGUGACUAAUGGAGUAUCAGCUUGCAAGUUUGUCGAAUCAAUCAAUCACACAAGCACCAGACAUAACUUGACCGAAAAGAUCUAAUGGCUAGUUUUCCAUUAUUACAACACUGUCAAAAUAUUCAAUGACCCACUUUUACCACAGGAUAAAAAACUAGUAAGAAGAUUUACUGCCCUGUUUGCAGGAAAUAGCAAAAAAGCAGAGCUGACUUUUUCCCCUUGAGAGUUGCAGAGACCUUAAAAACAGAGGAGAGCUGAGUUUCAGAGAACUUAAAAACAGAGGAGGAGAGCUAAGCUUUAAACUAAAACCAACCUUGUCCUCUUCUCUCCACUUGAAAACAUUUAUCAUUACUUUGCAACAAUGGCAGCAGCCAAGCAUGGUGGAGCUUCUUCAUCAUCAUCUCCUCUGAUUUCCUCUCCUCCGCAACAGAGUUUCAUGAGAGUCAUCCUUCCACAUGUCCUCCAAGCCAAGCAGAUGGUAACUAAUUAACUUACAUUCUUUCUUCUUUCUUUCUUUCUUUCUACUUUUCUAUUCAUUGAGCAUUCGAAAAAAAACACCUUUUCUUUGUAGGUUAUGCCGCAGAACUUCGUGGGUCUGUACGGGUCGGAGCUCUUGUCGACGGCAGAGCUCUUUCUGCCAAACGGCGCCAUUUGGACCGUCGGCGUGGCGAAAAGGAGAAAUGCUACCGGCGGCUGGAACGAGGCCUAUUUUGGUGAGAAGUUGGCCGAGUUCGUGGGCCGACACUCCAUUCGCACCGGAUUCUUCCUCCGAUUCGACUACCUUGGGGAUUCCAAGUUCUCCGUCAAGAUCUACGACACCAAUUGUUGCGGAAUCACAUACCGUUCUCCCUCCGGCCCCUCCGCCGCCGGCGAAGUAGAAGAUACGAGCGUCGAGAACUUCUUCCGACUCAUCAUGCCAAGUGUCAUCGAAGAGAAACAACUCGUUAAGUCUCAUUCCCAUUCUCUUCUUCUUGGUUGAAUCCUCUAUUUUAUUCCAUGCAUGAGAGGGCUGUCGGCAGGUCAAACCGAGUAGAGCUUUCGGGGAAAUUAUUGUUAGCUCAAAUUCAGGUCGACUUCAGUUUGAAAAAAUAAUUGUUAACUCCAUUUAACGAGCUCGUUUGUAAGUCUUAAUUAGCUAAGUUAAAUCUCAAGAUCAACUUAAAUUAAUCUAUAACAAAAUUAGUAAUAUUCUAAAAUUGAUUCGAUUUAUCUAACCUAAUUAAGUAAUUAAUCUUUAAAUAUAAUAUCAUAUUUUUGUGCAUUUAGAUGAAAUAAUAAUUUUUGAGACAUUAAUUUCUCUUAAAUCAACUCACAAGCCACACUAUUUUAGCCAAUUAACAAAUGGAGCCAACUCUAUAAACUUAGUCUAGCCGAUAAUUGAGGUCGGGAGCCAAAGUUGGCUCCAACUUGUCCCGUAGAUCAUUGAGCCAGCUCGUUUAAAAUCGAACUGAGUAAAAAUCAAACCGAAUAACUCAUUUUUCUCACAUCCUCUGUUUUUCUUCGUCUCUUUUUCAACAGCCCCUGCCGAUCAAGUUCGCGAGGAAGUACGGGAGGAAGCUGGCGAUGAAGAAGUGGUCAAACGCACAGCUCUGCCUUCCAAACGGCACCGUAUUCGAAGCCGGCAUAACCGCUGGAAAAGACCGUAAGGAACUCUGGUUCAAAAGAGGGUGGUCCAAGUUCAUGGAUGACAACUCCAUCAAGCAGGAUUUCUUCCUCACUUUCGAGUACACCGGCGGCUCGAGGUUCAACGUCGGCGUAUUCAAUCUGUCCACGUGCGAGAUCCUCUACCCACCACCACCGCCACCUGCCGUCGUCAACGAGGAUGAAUGCGAGGCUUUGCUGGCUGAAUUGGCGGCGAGAGGAAUCGAAGUGGCCAGCAAAUUCAGCUGCCUGACAUUUCCCAAAAUUUCUCCGGAAAGCAAGACCGCUUUGCGAGAUGCUAUGGCCAACAAGCGACGCGACAUUCCGUCGUUCAUCGUCGUGAUGAUGCCCGCCAAUCAACAACUCAGAACGACCUACCGCAUUGUAAGAGAUUAAGCAGAUUUCUUCCUGCUUUUUUUUUACUUAAAGCACGUUUACCACACUGGAAUUGGCUAGAUUUAGGGCCAUUUCGGACCAAUUCCCGUAGAUUUGGCGGCUUAAUUCCACCUAUUUCGGGACUCCUGUCGGAAUGGAGCGGAAAACGUGUCUUGAAGAACACACUCUGUUUUCUUACUGUUGUUGAAUUUUUUUGCAGACUGUUCCAACUGGAAUUGUGCAAAAGCUGAAGAUGAAAUAUGGGGAUCGGGUGAAUCUUAAGGUUUCGGGCGGCGGGUCGGGUGGAUUUGAAAUUGAACUGAAGCAUUCCGGAUCAUCGUUGACGAUGGUGGGUAAAAACUGGACUGCGUUCUACCAUGCAAAUCAGUUGAAGGAAGGAGACGUCUGCCUUUUCGAGGUUGUCGAGUCCUCCAGCAAUGGAUUUGAGAUUCGAGUUUCCAUAUCUCGAGCUUGAUCGUGUUUGUUGAAGGCCAAGGUUUCGAAAUGUAGAGGCCGAAACAAAAGGGACUAUCUAUGUUAUCUAUCCGAUUUAGUUAUGUUAGUUAUGUCGGAAUCAAUAACUUAUUUACUUAUGUUUUCAUGUUUGUUCGAGUCAUGUGGCUUGGGAUUUGAGCUCCAAGUUUAGAUAUUUGGGUUUAAAACCCUCAAUUGUUUGUUUACAAAAUGAAGAGUAACUAGUUAUAUAAAACUCUCAAUUAUCUUCCUAACCAGUCCCUUCAACCCUCAGGGCUCUUACUGUGUAAGGUCGAUUUGCAUUAUUGGUUUUUCGCUUUCAGUUAAGUUACAAACUGAGAUCACAGUGUUUGACUAGGUAGUUCAGUAUGUGAAGAAGAACUAGGAAAGUUCCCCACUAAGGGAGAUUAGCUAGCUGUGCUUGGAGAAUGUGAAAUGCGUCAAGGUUGUUUGCUACUGUUAUACCUGAAGAAAAUUGAUACUUCUGGCAAUACUCUAAUUAUGAAGUCUAAUUGUAGCUGCCCUCGUACAUCAUAAGUCCAAUUUUGCAACUUACAAGAGUGAGUUUAACUCAUGGCCUUUAGCAUAAAGUCGGUAGCUUUACAACUUACAAGAGUGAGUUUUGACUGUCAAGUGUGAACUACAAUAAUAGAUUACAACUUACAAGAGUGAGUUUCAAACUGAUCACGAAUCAUUGGAAUAAAUUACUUACCUAUAAGCUGUGGAUGUGUCUUCUUUUGAGAAUCAUUGGUCAUUUGGUCAUUUAACUUUCAACAAAUUGUAAAAUCAUCUUUUAGUACCUACUAGCUUAAUUGGUUAGAGCGUCAUGUUAAUAAUAAUGUGAGUGUCACAUAUUCAUUACCUAUUAGGACGGAAAUAUUUAUUCACCGUUAAUUUAAGAUAAAAUUAAGUGGAUAAAUAAUAGAUUUGAAUUUAUAUAUUAAUGUCAACUUAAACUAAUUUAUCAAUUUCUUUUCCAUUUAUCACUAUCCAAACAACUACAUUUCGAAUUUUGCAUUCAUUUUCAUCCAAUUUUCAAUUUCGGCAUCCAUAUGAUUCGUUCAUUACCGAAAAUAACACAUUUUUAAGAUCACAAUGUACAUAAAUACAUGUCUUUUGUUGGUAGUUUAUCCUACAAAUGUGCAAUGAGUGUUGAGAAUUAUGAACCAAGAACAUUAUUAAUCACACCAUAGAGGCAUUGCCCAUAACAGAUAAUGCAAAAAAUUGAAAUUAUCGUGACAAGACGUGAACAACCUCAUUUUGUUUUGUAGAUGAUUUUAGGUUGUAAAUAAUGUAGCAUAAUCCUAAUUUAAGCCUAUUGAGUGUCUAUUUCUAAUUUUCAACAAUUAGCAUUCAAUAUGACAACCCUGUGUAUGUUGAGGUUGUCCAAAAUUAGAAGACAAAAGACCCGAUUAAGGAGCAUUUUGUUUCAAAAACAAAAGGCUCCCAUAAUUCUACGAUGCCGCCAAAAAUAGCACACAACAAAAAAAACCUAUGAUCUCUACUUGAUUUCCAUUUCAAUUGCCCUCCAAUUCUUAUAACACCCUCUCCCCCCAAAUGCCAAUACAUUGCUAUAAGCACACCUUGGGCAGUCCAAGGUGUUUAGACAUGGCUCCUCCCUUUCUCAACUCCUUGGGCUGCCUUCUCCUUCUCUUCCUCUCCCUUUGUUCUUCUCCUUCAUUCUCGGCCUUCUCCAAUGCCCUGACGGAUGCAGAAGCCUCCUACAUAGCCCGCCGUCAGCUCCUAACCUUGAACGAGCAGGGUAAAGAGUCGGCGGGGAGCGAUGUGGAUCCUAAUUUAAAGUUUGAGAAUCCUAGGUUGAAGAACGCCUAUGUGGCCCUGCAGGCGUGGAAGAAGGGCAUUUACUCGGACCCGAUGAACAUGACUGCCAUGUGGGUGGGGUCAGACGUAUGCUCCUACAAGGGGGUGUAUUGUGCCCCCGCACUGGAUGACUCGAAACUGAACGUUGUUGCGGGGAUCGAUCUCAACCAUGCUGACAUUGCUGGGUAUUUUCCCUCUGAGUUGGGUUUGCUCACCGACCUGGCGUUGUUGCAUCUGAACUCGAACAGAUUUUGCGGGAUCAUCCCAAUGUCGUUUUGCAACAUGAAGAUAAUGUACGAGUUCGAUGUGAGCAACAACCGCCUCGUGGGGCCUUUCCCUCAGGUUGUGAUGUGUUGGAAGGAGGUCAAGUUUGUUGACCUUAGGUUCAACAACUUUGAAGGGAGCUUGCCGCCGGAGGUCUUCACUAAGGGACUUGACGCCCUGUUCUUGAACAACAACCGGUUCACGUCGUCGAUCCCUGAGACGCUCGGUAACUCCACGGUUAGCGUUGUCACGUUGGCUUUCAACAACUUCACCGGUUGUAUCCCUCACAGCAUCGGGAAGAUGCCCAACGUCCAGGAGAUCAUCUUCGCCGGAAACAGCCUUGGAGGUUGCUUCCCGCCGGAGAUCGGAAACCUCAAGAAUGUGACUGUGUUUGACGUGAGCAAUAGCGGCUUCGUGGGUCCCAUCCCGUCAAGCUUUUCAGGGUUGAAGAGCGUUGAGAUGUUGGAUAUUUCGAACAACAAGAUGACCGGAUUAGUGCCUGAGGAGAUCUGCAAGCUGCCGGCGUUGAAGAAUUUCACGUUCGGUUCUAACUAUUUCAACGGAGAGGGGCCAUCUUGUAACUCAAAGUCGAGGAGAGAUGUGGAGUUCGAUGAUCAUGAUAAUUGUUUGUUGGAUCGGCCGAUGCAGAAGACUCCUAAAGUUUGCAAUCCGGUGGUGAUGAAACCGGUAGAUUGUAGUAAGGAUAAGUGUGGCGGUGGAGGUGGUGGUGGCGGUAGCAGUAAGGGUGGUGGAGGAGAAGCUCCACCGAAGCCAAAGCCGACACCGUCGCCAGAGGAGGACCCACAUUUGCCGGCUAGCGGUGGAAUGAGCCGCCCUCCACCACCACAAUCGGCGCCGGUGCCAUCUCCAUCAUCGGUUCGCGUGUCACCUCCGCCAACGUCGGUUCCAUCUCCGUCGCCGGUUCGUGUGUCACCACCACCGACACCAGUUCAUUCUCCUCCACCACCGGCACCGGUUCACUCCCCUCCACCACCAGCACCAGUUCACUCUCCGCCGCCUCCUCCACCGGUGUUCUCCCCGCCUCCUCCGGUCCAUUCCCCACCCCCACCAGUUCACUCUCCUCCUCCUCCUCCAGUACAUUCUCCACCGCCGCCCAUGUACUCUCCACCACCACCGGUUCAUUCCCCUCCUCCGCCGGUUCACUCUCCACCACCACCGGUUCACUCCCCUCCUCCUCCGGUUUUCUCUCCACCUCCACCCGUAGUCCCACAACCCCACCCGACGCCAGACACCCCCAAUCUCACCCGAGCCAGAGCCCUCCGUUCCUCCUCCAUCCAAAUCACCCCCACCGGAGUCAAAACCACCGCAGCUUCCUCCUCCAGCGAAAUCAUUACCACCGGAGCCGGAACAACCCCUUCCUCCUCCAUCAGAAUCAUCACCCCCACCGGAGGAGCCCGAACACUCUCUUCCUCCUCCAGCCAAAUCAUCACCACCGGAGCAAGAACGCCCUCUUCCUCCACCGGCGAAAUCAUCACCGUCGCCAAUGCCAGACGUAGUCCUCCCGCCAAACCUUGGCUUCCAAUACUCGUCUCCUCCGCCGCCGAUGUUCCCAGGCUACUAAUUCACAAACACUAAGUUAACAGAGAACGAGAAAACACCACUCAUUGUUGUAAGAAAGACGAUCAUGUGAUCAUGUGUUAAUUUCUAAUUAUUUAUGUAACAUUUGUUGCCAUAUAUAUAUACUUUUAUUGUCAUUUUGAUAUCAGCUUCUUCUUCAUCUCGUUCUUAAUUAUGUUCUUUUUCAGAACAUUCAUAAUCAAACAGUCCAAUCUUCUGAAACACAAAAACAAGUUUACAUAUUGUCGAAACAUACAUUUCAUAUAAAAAAAUUAUUUAUAAUGACGACAAUGAUGGUAUUUAUAAGAGUUCAUAUUAUGAAUGGAACAAUUUGAUGUGAUGAAUUCACCUAAAUCGAUCAGUUAGUCCAUAAAAAAGAUAAUUAGCACUUAUCGAUUAACAAUGAAAUACUUAUAAAAUAAUCUGUAAUGAUCGGCCCACCAACACAUAACACAUAGGAUUGAUGAUAUGAGCCAUUAAAAAACCACUACAUAUUUUCGAAAGAGAUUGGAUUUGAUUAUUAUGUCCUUCAAAAUAUACGAAGGGAAGGAAAAAGAAUACGUUUAUACAUACGUACACAGUACCGUAUACCGCCCAAGAAAAAACAUUCAACAAAUACGAGAAAAAUUCAAAAAUUAAAGCAGCUGGGGCUUUUGUCCGUUUGUCGGCGGCGGCGGCGCUCUCUCAGGCGACUCCACGGCGGAGGAAGAAAUUACAAAAGGAAUUAUCCCUUUUUUUCUCUCCGUUUCGUCUAAGGAAGAAACGCAACGAAGGGAACCGAAACGGCAGAGAAGUCAGAAGCGCCGCCGGAGUAAGCGUAGAUAGGACGCCGGCUGCGGAGCUGCGGCAAGAGGGUCAUUUCAUCGCCGCCGCCGGCGAUGGUGUCCCGUUUAACGACGUGGACAGCUUCCGCCACGGAGAGCACGAACUCCACCGCGAGCUUCGCCAGCGAUAUGCACAUCUCCACUCUGUGUAUCACCACCAUAGUCAUAAUUAAGCCGAAACUGCAACAAAUUUGACUACGAUUUAUUGCUGUUGAAUGUCUGGAUGCUUUGCUUGUUUCUUUCUUAUUACGAUGUUCGAGUAUAUAUGGUGUUGAAAAUCGGUUGAUUUUUGGGUUCCAACUCUGACUCUUGGGUUGUUCCAAGGGACGGAUAUUUAUGAUCUUAUCUGUAUCGAAAGAAAUGUACGAAUCAGAUGGGAUAUUCUUUCCCAAUCAUGUUGUCGUUUUGUUUUUUGGUUCAAACAAUGGUCGGACCAAUUCGAGUGAAUAUCAUUGUUUUUCUUUUUUGACAAAAUUAUAUCAUCAUAUUCAUUAUCAGAGUAUAGUAACUUGAGGUGUACAGGAAGUUUCAUCGAAGGUGUAGUCCUCAUCAAUGAGCCUAGCAUGGAUUGCGGAUCUUUGUAAUAACAAACACUUCAAUCCUUUCUCUCCAACAAACCAAAAAUUCUAUAGGAAUUUACCCUAACAAUAAAAAAUAAGAACAGUAAUAAUCACAAACAAGACAAAUACACACCGAAAAUAUAAAAAAAGUUGAAGUUAGAAAUAAAACUAAAAAAGAAAUCUAACGAAUUUGGAUGUGAUUAGCGACAUUCCUAUUUGAACUCCUAAGGAAGAUUAGGACUUUAGUCCUUCCAACUUCAAGGCUCAGAGAACCGGACUGGUCAUCCCUACCUGACUGACUGGAGGCCUGAAGAUGAUCAUGCUUCUUGGAAGGGGUAGGGAUGUAGCAACUGCGGUGGUAAGCGACAUAGUAACAACAACGAUAACGACGUUGGCGGUGAUGGAGACGUUGGUGAUAAUGGCGACGUUGACGGUUAUGGAUUGUGGUGUGGGGUGGGGAUGGGUUGCGGCCAUGAUAUUUGUGGUGAAGUUGGUGGUGACGAAGGUAGUCUUGUUGGUGUUGGAAGCGAAAGGGUGUAGGGCAGCCAUGGUGGUUGUGGUGAAUACAGGCGGAAGCUAGGGUUUUAGGGAGGGGGAAGGGUUUUCUUCUACGAGAGGUAACAAAACAUCUACUUUCUUAUGAGAAGUAACAAGGCAAUUACUCUUCUAUGAGAGGCAACAAAGAUCCAAGUUAAAAUCGAAAAUGAAGAAGAUCGAAAAAGCGAAAUUUGCUAUGUCGGUUAGGAUUUGGCGACUCUCAUUAAGAGCUUUUGUUCACCCGCGCUGUAUGAAAUCAGUGAAUAUCGUUAUUACUUUCUCUAGAGGCACAACUAAAUCGAGAUUAUACCUGAAUAGUAAUUAACUUUGAGUUUUGUGGGUUUUUAAAUUUAAUUUUUUCUAACUAUUUAGAAUUUCAAUAUUAUCUUUGUCGUUGUAAAGUUUGCAAUUGAGUUUUUAUGAAACAAAGAACAAUUUAGUAAUUAAACCAAAAAUUAUAUAUCUCUAUUCAAAAUUCAACUAUCCCCAUAAAUAUAUAGGUUCCAAACAAAAAUUUUAAGAAACGAUAAUUUUUUUCAAUACGUUAUUUUAAAAAUUAUCAUUUUUAAAAAAAAUUAUUAAUUCUCANNNNNNNNNNNNNNNNNNNNNNNNNNNNNNNNNNNNNNNAAUUAUUAAUUCUCAAAACACAAAAAUCAAAGGUGACCUAAAACCUUGUUUGAAGAAAUUCAACGUAUCGGUGAAAAUCAACUGUAUUGAUAAGUACGUAUAUUGCACUGGGCUUGGUGCAUCAAUGUGAUUAAUGUUGGAUUAUGGGAUACUGAUGAUAAGAGUGGAGUGAACUAAAAUUCUACAAGAAUUAGUUGUUUCAAACGUUCAAAUUAGGGUUUCAGUAAUUUUUUAUCUACUUUAUUAGGCAUUGUAAAUUGUCAUANNNNNNNNNNNNNNNNNNNNNNNNNNNNNNNNNNNNNNNNNNNNNNNNNNNNNNNNNNNNNNNNNNNNNNNNNNNNNUCAAGUGGACAGGAUGACUAGUUUGUUGAUAAUUGAAUGAGAUUUGAAAGUUGCAUAUACUUAAUUUAUUUUUAAAUAUGUCACGAUAGGGGUUAGCCAACUUGCAUUGUAUAGCUUAAAUAAAAAAGUACAAUUUUAUUAAGACUUUUGAUAUCAAAUAUUAUAGAACCACUUUGCACUUUACACGUAAGAUUAUAAACAUAUGUCCAGAUGGAUUAAUUUGUUUGUGUAAUUAAUUAAUAACUAUAUGUAUGUGGAUAAUAUUCCUGGUCCUACCAUAUGUUAAAUAAACAAACAACAUUUGCACCUUUUAUUUUCUAGAGAAAUUUGUCACCCACUAUUAUAUUUUUUAUUUUUGUCUAUAUAAGUAUUCUGAGGAUAAUCUAAAGUAUUUUCACUAUUAGGUACUAUUAAAUCAUAAUUGUGAUCUUACAGUUAAAAUACAAAAAUAAAUAGCAAGACUUUGGCUUACAAAAAGCUUAAAUUCACUAUUGAAAUACAUUUUACAUAAAUGCCCUAUAAAUAUUUUCAAAUCCCGACAGUUGCACCGUUGGCCUUUCCUCAUUACGCCCGUAAAUAGUGAGACACAAAAUCAAACCGUCCGUUAUCCGUGUCAUCUCAGAAUUAAAAAAAAUCACAAAAAGAAACGAAAUUGGAAGUUCAUCGAGCUCAGACUGAAGAAGAAGAAGCAAUAUAGCCGGCCAUCGAUGAAGAGGCCGGUGAAGUGUGGUCGGUUUGUCGGCGGCGUGGUUUUCUCCGGGAAGGAGGAAGAAAUGAAGUAUCCUUUUUUUUUUCUUCUCUCAAGGAAGAAACCCAACGAAAGGAACCGAAACGGCAGCAGAAGAAGGGCCGCCUAUUGGAAAUGAUUUUUCAUUUUCCCGCCAAACUUCACACUCUCCAAGCUUCAAGUGAAACGGAGCGUUUCUUCCUCUCUACACCAACGACUAAAUGAAACGGAGCGUUCUGUUAAGUGAUGAAGAUAAGAACAAAACGUCAUCGUUGCACUGAUCAGAACAGCUCAUCGUCCUCUUCUCUGUUCCUCUGCAUUUCUGCAAAUUCCGUUAGAGCCUCAAGCUCACCUACUCUCUUUCAGCCAGCUACCAGCUGUGCACAUUGUCUUUUAGCUUCUCAUCACUUUGUAUAUGUACCACCUUUCUAUCAAUGAGAACGUUGAGCCAUUUCAUUUGAACACAAACGAGUUAAUAUGGUAUCAGAGCGAGGUUAGAAUCCACAAUGGCAGCUGAAUAUCCCUUAGCUGAUCCUUACUACCUCCAUGGUAGUGAGCAGCCAGGGCAAUCACUCGUUACUGAGAAGCUCACCACGAGCAACUACACUGAUUGGAGCAGAGCUAUACACAACGCACUUGGAGCAAAGAACAAAGUUGGAUUCAUCGAUGGAAGUAUUGAAGAACCAGAGGUCAUGGACCCAAUGUUCUGGCCCUGGACUCGUUGCAACAUCAUGGUUCUUAGCUGGUUGCAACAAUCAGUCGAACCAGGCAUCAGAAAGACGAUCAUGGGAUUGAAGAAUGCACAGGAUGCAUGGGAAAGCUUGAAAGCUAGAUAUGGUCAAGGAGAUGUGAUCAGGAUUGCAGAACUACUGGAGCAGCUCUCAAAUCUGAAACAAGGUAACCAAACUGUUACUGAGUAUUAUGGAUCAAUCAUCACUCUAAGGGAUGAGCUGAGAAAUUAUCAGCCCUUGUUCAACUGUGACUGCACUGCAACCAGUCACCUUGACUGUUUGGCAAUGAGAAAGGUGUAUGUGUAUGAAGACACCAACAAUGUCAUUCACUUCCUGAGAGGUCUGAAUGAAAACUUUUCUGGCCCUCGAACACAAGUUUUGUUUGGUGAUGAGCUACCAAACAUAGAUAAGGUUGUUCAACGCAUGAUACAACAUGAAAGGCAGCUGUAUGGAACACAACUCAAAGGCUCUAAUGAACCUAUGACAAUGCUGGCUCCUUCAUACAACAUCAACUAUGCAGGCCAGCAAGCUGCUCAACCAGGAGGUUUUCGACCAGGACCUCAAAAGGGCAAGAAUCUAUUUUGCACCUUCUGCAAAAUGCAAAACCACACAGUGGAUAGAUGCUUCUUCAAAAUUGGCUUUCCACCAGGAGUCACUCCCAGGCCCAUGCCACAGCAAGGACCAAGACAACAAUAUGGUCCUAGACCUUCCUAUGCUGCAAAUCAUGGAGCCUUCAAACCACAGGUUCAUGCAGCUUCACAAUCAAGUGAAGGAGGCAACAUCCAACUGACACAGGAUCAGUUCUCCCAACUUAUGAAUGCUGUGAGGCUCAAGGAUCCAGCAGCACAACCAGGCACAUCCCAAACACCAGGUUCUCAUAAGCCAACUGCACUGAUGUACUCAGCAGGCAAGUAUUGUUGUAGUAGUUUCAUGCAUUCCACACCAAAUGAAAUUAUUUGGAUUGUAGACACAGGUGCAUCAGACCAUGUAGUCAGCUCACUCAACCUAAUGGAAUCGAGCAAACAAAUUGAUGCUUUGAUGAUCACUCUGCCUACUGGACAGCAAGUCCAAGCCACUCAUUCUGGAACAGUGUUGAUUAAUGACACCUUAUCACUACAUAAUGUUCUAUAUGUGCCUGAUUUCGCAUUCAAUUUGAUAUCAGUCAGUAGACUAACAGCUCAACAACCAUUGAGACUGACUUUCUCUUCCACCCAUUGUGUGUUGCAGGACCUAUCGAGGAACACCACGAUUGGUUUAGCUGAACUGCACAAGGGACUCUACAAGCUGACAACCUGCAAACCAGUUAGUCACAUCGCCUCCACUCAACGAAAUAAGCCCUUUGAUUUAUGGCAUUACCGUCUAGGACAUGUUUCCCACCAUAGAACUCCCUUUCUUAAGAAAAUUCUCCCUAGUAUAGAAACUUUCCACUUAGCCCCCUGUGAUGUUUGUCAUUUUGCUCGUCAAAAACGUCUGUCUUUCCCUCAUAGUGUCUCCAGCACUAAAACUCCUUUUGAAUUAAUUCAUGUUGAUCUUUGGGGUCCAAACUCCUGCCCCUCAUAUGAUGGCUAUCUCUAUUUCUUAACCAUUGUUGAUGAUUUCACACGAAUGACUUGGAUCAUGAUGCUGAAACUAAAGUCAGAAGCUAGAUCAUCUCUACAAAAUUUCUGCUCCUAUGUCACAAACCAACACAAAACUAGUGUUCAACGAAUACGUAGUGAUCAAGGCAAAGAAUUUUUUAUGCCUCUCUUCUAUCAGGAAAAUGGGAUUCUCCAUGAAACAUCUUGUGUAGAAACACCUCAACAAAACAGUAAGGUUGAGAGAAAGCACCAACAAAUUUUAAACAUAGCUAGAGCUCUCAAAUUUCAAGCCAACCUUCCCUUGACUUUCUGGUCUGAUUGUGUUAAGCAUUCUGUGUUUCUAAUGAACCGUAUCCCCACUCACCUCCUUGACAAUAACACCCCCUACGAAGCCUUUCACCAUUCUAAACCCAAACUGGAAGACUUAAAAGUCUUUGGUUGCUUGUGUUAUGCAAGCACACUUGCUGGACACAGAACCAAAUUCCAGAAACGAGCUAGAAAAGGAGUCUUCAUAGGGUUCACACCUGGAAUCAAGGGUUACAAAGUCUAUGACUUAGAUUCUCACCAAACAUUUGUCUCUAGGGAUGUCAAAUUCUAUGAAAAUGUCUUUCCUUUUCACACCAGCAACAGCACCAACCAAGUCUACUCUUCCGCUGAUCAAAUGCCUUCCUUUGACCAAGACUUCACCGAUUUACCGGAUACUGGCCACUCCACCAAUCCUUCUGAUCAUCCUACACCUGAAACUGAACCACACCCUAUCAUUCAUAGUGAGGAUGAGUACAUUCCCAGCACUGAUAAUGUCAAUGAUGACGAACACAGUAAUACCAGUGACAGUGAACACAAUAUUCCUUCCCAGUCACCUGCCUCUCAAACCUCUUCUCAAUCCCCUGUCCCUCAAAAUUCUCCACACAACAGAAAAAGCACCAGACAUCACAAACCACCCUCCUACCUGCAGGAUUAUCAUUGUCAGCUCCUUGUGCAUCAAGGCAACCCCAACUGUGAUGUUUCAAAGGUAUGUCCUAAUGCACACAUAGCUGGAAAGAUAGCUCAUCCUCUCAAUACUGUCUUGUCUUAUGAUGAUAUGGAUCGUGAACAUAAACACUUUGCUUUGAGUAUAACAACAGAAAGGGAACCUAGGUCCUAUGCAGAAGCUGCCAGAGACCCUAGGUGGACUGAAGCAAUGAAUCAGGAAACAAAGGCUUUGGAGAUUAACAACACAUGGGAAGUUGUUGAUCUGCCUGAAGGAAAGAAAGAAGUUGGAAGCAAAUGGGUUUACAGAAUUAAGUAUAAAUCUGAUGGCUCAGUUGAAAGGUUCAAAGCAAGAGCAGUAGCAAAGGGGUUCACACAAGAAGAAGGGGUCGACUAUCAAGAAACUUUCUCACCAGUCGUCAAAAUGACAACCAUAAGGACCUUUCUUGCACUUGCUGCUUCAAGAGACUGGUUUGUACACCAGUUAGACGUGAACAACGCAUUUCUUCAUGGUGACCUGCAUGAAGAAGUCUACAUGAAGGUGCCUCAAGGAAUGAGAGUAAGCAGUGCACUGAAAAGACCAGUAUGCAAAUUGCUAAAAUCGCUCUAUGGUCUCAAGCAAGCAUCAAGGCAGUGGUACUGCAAGCUUUCAGACAAACUACAACAGUUAGGCUACACUCAAAGCAAAGUCGAUCACUCUCUCUUCCUGAAGAAUGGUGGUAUGUCGUUCACAGCUAUUUUGGUUUAUGUUGAUGAUUUGAUUGUGGGAGGAAACGACUUAACAGAGAUUUUGAAGUUGAAAGAGGAACUACAAGUGCAUUUAAGAUCAAAGACUUGGGUGAACUAAAGUAUUUUCUGGGAUUAGAAGUCACAAGAAGUGUGUCAGGAAUACAUUUAUCUCAAAGAAAAUACAUACUAGAACUACUGGAAGAAGCAGACAUGUUGGAGAGCAAGCCACUUGCUACCCCAAUGGACUACAAGACACAUCUGUCCUCUACAGGUGAUGAUGAAUUCCACAAUCCGGAAUUAUACAGAAGAAUAGUAGGGAAGCUGAUCUACUUAAACAAUACAAGACCAGACAUUAGCUUUGCCACUCAACAGGUGAGCCAGUUUAUGUCUAGACCCUUAAACGAUCAUUACAAGGCUGUUACAAGGAUCCUAAGAUACUUGAAGGGAGUUCCUGCUACUGGAAUUCUUCUAUCUUCUACUUCAAAUCUUCAGUUGCAGGCUUAUAGUGAUUCAGACUGGGCAGCAUGUCCAGACACCAGAAGAUCUGUGACAGGGUUCUGUGUCUUCCUGGGAAACUCACCAAUUUCCUGGAAAAGCAAGAAACAAAGCACCAUUUCCAGAAGUUCCUGUGAGGCAGAGUAUCGUGCACUUGCUCAUACUGCUAGUGAGCUGCAGUGGCUACUCUAUCUGCUCUCAGAAUUCCAAGCAAAGCACUACCAAGCAGCAACAAUCUUCUGUGAUAACCAGUCUGCAAUGCAUGUGGCAGAGAAUGCAGUCUUCCAUGAAAGAACAAAACAUAUUGAAUUGGAUUGCCAUUUUGUUCGAGAAAAGGUCCAAUCCAAGAUAAUCAAGCUCAUCCAUGUCCCUACUGGAGUUCAGGUUGCUGAUGUUCUGACGAAAGCCCUCUCCCCAGCACCAUUCAACUACUUAAUAUCCAAGCUUGGUCUGCACAAUCUGUGCCCACCAGCUUGAGGAGGGGUAUUGGAAAUGAUUUUUCAUUUUCCCGCCAAACUUCACACUCUCCAAGCUUCAAGUGAAACGGAGCGUUUCUUCCUCUCUACACCAACGACUAAAUGAAACGGAGCGUUCUGUUAAGUGAUGAAGAUAAGAACAAAACGUCAUCGUUGCACUGAUCAGAACAGCUCAUCGUCCUCUUCUCUGUUCCUCUGCAUUUCUGCAAAUUCCGUUAGAGCCUCAAGCUCACCUACUCUCUUUCAGCCAGCUACCAGCUGUGCACAUUGUCUUUUAGCUUCUCAUCACUUUGUAUAUGUACCACCUUUCUAUCAAUGAGAACGUUGAGCCAUUUCAUUUGAACACAAACGAGUUAAUAGCAGCAGCAAGUGCACCUCAGCAGCAGCAGCCACAGGAGCAGCAGCAGCCACAAGAGCAGAAGCAUCGAAGAAAAAGGCAUUCGAAUUAGCCGGUUCGAGUAGCUAGGUUUACAACCCAUUAUACAAAAUGCCUUUAUUUAUUUAGUUUAGUGUACAAACUGACAAGCUGAAUAGUUUGUUUGAUUGAGAGUUGUAUAUAUUUAUUUUUAUAUAUGAGCUAAAAUGUGUAACGAUAAGGGGUUUAAUUUGCCACCUUUGCAUUGCAUGAUUUUAUUCAUAUAGAUUAAAUCAAAAAGUACGGUUUGAUUAGGACUUUCAAAUCGAAUAUUUAUAGAACCACGCUUUGCACUUUACUUGUUAGAUUAUAAACAUAUGACUAGAUGGGUUAAUUUAUUUUUGUGCGAUUUUUAUUAUACAUGUGGAUAAUAUUCCUGGCCCCUACUAUACGUUAAAUAAAUAAACAACAUUUUUUGAAUUGUAUAAUAUCAUUAGAAAAUUUGUCACCAAUUAUAUUACAUUUUUUUAAUCACUAUCCUUCUAUUUGAGGGUAAUUUAGAGGAUUUUAUUCGUCACUAAAUAUCGAAAACAUUUGAUUGUAAGUGUGAUUCAAUAAUUCAUUAUACAAGAACAAAUAGAUAAUGAGACGGUAGCUUAUAGACUUGGUCCAUAUUGGCGAUAGUUGAUUGGUCGUAAAAUGUUCACUUUUAUGCGACGAACAAUGUCUUUUGUCGCAUUGUUGAUUUUGUGAUCCACUAUAUGCGACGAUCAUUGCGACCAUUGCUUUCCGUCGCAAAAUAUGUUUGACAACGAUUUUGUUGGUUUAUGCCACGGUUCAAUUGGUAGCAAAAAGGAAAGUUUUAUGUAGUAAGAAGUCCCAAGAUAGCAAGACUAUAACUUGACUGUCGUUGAAAUAUGUAAAUAUAUAGCCCACUCAUAUAGUCAAUAAUCUCGUUAACCUUUAUACCUGGAUCAACGCCUUAUCAAACCUAUCAAUUUUGGUGGGCUCCCCAAUGUUGUGAAGACUUGUCAGUGAAGGGAAGAGCAUUCCCUUCGUCUAUUUGAAGUGUAGAAGGAUUGCGUGUCAUAAAGAUUAAAAGUUCUUUGCCGCUAAAAUCGGUUGAAUUAAAGAAACAAUUCAAGAAUAAAAAAGUAUAAAAAGAAAAUGUGAUCACUUAUAAGUUAUAAUGUAGUUAUUUGCCAACUAAACCUAGUUGGAUGAGUAGAACGGCCAUACAAAAAACAUUAAUGAUCCCAAAGCUUAAAUUCACAAUCCAAAUGCAAUUUUUUCAUUUUACAGAAAUGCCUCUAAGUCCAAUAUUUUCAAAUCUCGAAACCCGCGAUAACCUCAUUGCGCCGUUGGCCCUUUUUCAAAUUCGCCAUUCAAUCUCAUCCGUCCGCUCCCCGCGUCAUCUCAAAAUUCAAAAUUUCAUAAAAAGAAACGAAAUUGGAAAAGUUCAUUGAGCACAGACUGAAGAAGAAGAAGAAGAAGAAGAAGAAGAAGAAGAAGAAGAAGAAGUAAUUGCUCUUUGCUCUAUGUUCUUCAACUCCCAAGCAGCAGCAUCCGAAGAAGAAGAAGACGAUCUGAAGGUAGAGCGAAUGCAGUAGCCGACUCCGAGAUCUGAGUGCUACUUCCAUUUCCCCUGAGUAGGAAGCAUUUCGCUGACUCGGUAUCUUCCAGUCCUGUUCUUCCACUCAACUUCCAGGUAAAACAAAGUCUCUCAGAUUUCAGAUUUUUGACUCGCAUUUCGUUGUGUGAGUUUAAUUUCUUAGUCACAAUUGUUUCUGUCAAUGGUCAGGAUGUUUCGCGAUUUCAAAUUUCCCCGCCGGAAUUCGGGCAAGAACGAGGAGAUCGAGAAUGUCCCGGUGAACCCUAGGGAUUCGAUUUUGAGUCAAGCUAGCUCGGAAUUGAGCUCUCGGCCUCCGCUGAACAGUAUCCAAGAGACUGUAGAGGUGACCGCGCCUAGAAACAAAGUAGAGAGGACUCCAACGAAACCUAAAUCGAACUCCACGUUGCCUCCGCUUCGGACGCCGGAGAGAAACGGAGGAGUUGGGGGUGGAGUUCCUUCGUCGAAGCAACGGUUUGGUUGGGCUAAUAGGAAUGAGUCGAGCACGGUGGAUGAGGCUAGGACUGAUGCUAAGGACUACAUGAUGAGAGGGGGCUUAUCUAUUGUGACUCCGAGGUCUGUUAGGACAGUUGGAAGGCCUACCACGAGUUACUCAGAGUGCACUUCGGUGCAAAGUACGCCUACUAAGAGUGUCUCGAAGCCUCCCAGUUCGGCUUACAGAAGUAAGCUGGAUGCUAGUAAUGGAGUUGGACGUACGGGGAACGUUGGUGCUCUUUAUAGAGGGGUCCCGGCUUCUGCUGGCCCGACUACUGCCAUUGUUAAUACAGCUGAAGUUCCACAUUUUGAUAUGAAAGAGGAUCCAUCAUUUUGGAUGGAUCAUAAUGUACAGGUACUGUUCGUUUCUUGUGAUUUUUGACAUGAUGUGACGCAUAAGCACGAAUGGAUGAAAUCAAUAGUAAUGCACGCCCUUAUUUCAUAUGAUCUAAAGGGGAUGGUUUGCCUGUCUCCAUGUUGUGAUUGCAUUGGUUCUUUUGGUUAUGCUGAUGAUUAAAAUUUAUCUAGGUUCUCGUACGAGUGCGACCUCUCAGUGGCAUGGAGAGGAGUGCGCAAGGCUAUAAUAGGUGUCUGAAGCAAGAGAGUGCUCAGACCAUUACCUGGAUCGGGCAACCAGAAUCCAAGUUCACAUUUGAUCAUGUAGCUUGUGAAACAGUUGACCAGGUCUGAUAAGAGUUAUAAGAGAUGUAAAAAUUUUAGUGACGGAUUCUUUGGGUUAAAAGGGGGAUAUCUAUUUUGCAGGAAAUGCUUUUUAGAAUGGCUGGUCUUCCAAUGGUGGAGAAUUGCUUGUCUGGCUACAAUAGUUGUAUCUUCGCCUAUGGCCAGGUAAGUUUUGAACAACAUGUUGCAGAUUGUUCAACAGUAGCUUAUGCAUGAGCUUGUUGAAUGGACAAAUUGAGUCUCUGUAUGCAACAUGUUGUAAUUCUUUGUUAGAUACUUCACGAUUAUCUGAUGAGUUUAACCUUGCAGACAGGAAGUGGGAAGACACACACAAUGCUUGGAGUCAUUGAUGGCUUAGAAGUAAAGCCCAGCAUACAACGUGGAAUGACACCAAGGAUUUUUGAGUUCUUGUUUGCAAGGAUCCAGGCAGUAAGUGACUUUUUUUCUUUAGUGAACCCUCUUUUACCCGACUAUGUCUCCUUAUCUGUCACUGCAUGCAUAUAAGAGAGCCUGCAUUACAAGUCUAAGUUUACAGAAGCUUUCCUUGUUAGUGUUAAUGACAGAAUAAAUUAAUUUAUAGGCAUGUUUCAUCUGUCCUGUAUAAGGUUUAAGUGCUAUAGUUGGAUGAAUCUUGUUGUAGGAAGAGGAAAGUCGAAGGGAUGAAAGGCUACAAUACAAUUGCAAGUGCUCUUUCUUAGAGAUUUACAACGAGCAGAUUACUGAUCUCCUUGAUCCUUCAUCUACCAAUUUGUUGGUAAGUUUCUCUCUCAAUGAUGAUGGUUUCACGUUAAUAAGUACUUGUCAAUCAUCACAGUAUGAUUCUCUCUGUAGCUGAGGGAGGAUUCCAAGAAAGGUGUCUACGUAGAGAAUCUCUCAGAAUUUGAAGUUCAGACUGUGAGCGACAUUAUAAAGCUUUUAGCACAGGUAGUCUAUCGUUUGAAUUUUCAUCUUUUAUGAGUGAAUUUGCAUGCAUUGGAUUUCAAUGCAUCUGUUUUUUGCUGGAUGCAGGGGUCUUUAAAUAGGAAAGUGGCAGCAACAAAUAUGAAUAGAGAGAGUAGCCGCUCACACAGUGUGUUUACAUGUGAGAUUGAGAGCAAAUGGGAAAAGGAUUCCACAACUAACCUAAGGUUUGCACGGUUAAACCUGGUUGACCUGGCUGGUUCAGAAAGGUAAGACGCCUGUCGAAAAUCUAUCUUUUCCUCUUUGGGCUCAUCUACGGUGUCACACAUAGUGCUUCUGUAUGUUUUGCAGACAGAAAAGCUCAGGUGCUGAGGGUGACCGUUUAAAGGAAGCUGCAAGCAUCAACAAAUCAUUAUCAACAUUAGGGUAAUGUAAUUAUAAGUUAGCGUUGCAUUCACAUAUUAACAUUUUUCUUUUUUCACCAUCAAGCUUGUGAGAUUUUUGUUUCUUAACUUCGUUUCCGUUCCAGCCAUGUCAUUAUGAUUCUAGUGGAUGUGGCAAAUGGAAAACCAAGGCAUGUUCCUUACAGAGACUCGAGGUUGACCUUCCUUCUUCAGGUUGAUUUCUGCCUUUCUUUCACAUUUAUUUUUAUUACUCGGUAUUGUAUUAACUAUGUUGAGAAUUGAGAUCUAACGAUUUGAACAAUUUUAUGCAGGACUCACUUGGUGGGAAUUCGAAAACAAUGAUCAUUGCUAAUGUCAGUCCCUCUGUGAGGUACUUUUUUAGCUAUUGUUUCCUCUGAUUUCAAGUUUGGUAAUUUGCACAUUUGCUAUACAAUAUUUCUUCACCCUUCUAACAUCUAAUGGCCGCAGUUGUGCACCAGAGACACUCAACACUCUAAAGUUUGCUCAGCGAGCAAAACUUAUCAAGAAUAAUGUAAGGUUCUUCAUUUACUUUUAUUGUUCCUUGAAGUAGUGGCGCUGAACUGCUGAUAAGUUUUACUAUAAUAUGAUGCUUGUUACUCUAUAGGCUGUUGUGAAUGAAGAUUCAACUGGGGAUGUCAUUGCACUACAGCAUAAGAUACGUCUCUUAAAGGUGCAGUGUUGUAUCUGACAGUAGCUUGCUAUAAAAUAUCUGAUAUGUCACAUUACUUGGAAGUGAAUUUUUGUGGUCUUUCUUUUUGUGGACAGGAGGAGAUCUCGUUCCUCAAACGCCAGAAUGUGUUCAGGUCUCUCUCAUUUGGCUCUAGUCUCAAUGAUACAGAGGAUGUACAAGAUGAUGCCUCCACAAGAAAACUGUCAAUUGAACAACUGCCUAUUGAUGAUUUAAUUCAAUUGGAGUCCAAAGGCACUGUUAGACUGUCCACGAAACAGGUAUCGAUUCUGAUAUGCGCUGUUCUAUGAAAUCCAUUAUAUAUUUCCUUUUCCUAACUGGAGUUAUGUAUGAACUGAGUUGUCUAUGAACCUAAAUAAAGUGCAACAAAUCCAUGUCUCUUAAUCUUUUGGAUAUGAGGAAUUAGUAGUUACACAAUUGUGUUCGUUAUUUCAGAGCCCAUUACCAUUUUACUUUAGUUUAUCGCUCUUAUUCUCCACCUACUCCACCAUGCUAAGUUAAUUGAGUUGAUGUUUAUAUCCAUUAUGUGAUGUACAAUUGUGAACUGGUAUCAACACAGUUGAAAUCUCUUGAGUCAACUCUUGCUGGAGCUUUGAGACGAGAACAAAUGGCAGAGACUGCUAUCAAGAAACUUGAAUCAGAAGUUGCACAAUUGAAUCGUUUGGUAAUCUGUUUUCCAGUUUCUUUCAACAUGCGGUGUUUUCUUCCGUUUAAACCGCAGCCGUAUAAUUCUAAUUGUGUCUCAGGUUCGUCAAAGAGAGGAAGACACCAGGAGCACAAAAAUGAUGGUCCGGUUUCGGGAAGAUAAAAUUCAGAGAAUGGAGUCACUUCUUGGUGGCUCUCUACCUUCUGACAGUUAUUUAAUGGAAGAGAGUAGAGCAAUGCGUGAAGAGAAUCAGUUGCUUCAAGCUAAAGGAGAGAAAAAUCCUGAAGUAACUCGGUUUGCUUUAGAGAACAUCAGGCUUCUGGAGCAGAUCAGGAGGUGAUCUGCAUUGUCAUGACAUGUUAAAACCUAGUAUGUGUUUGUUUCUAUCUACCCCUACUCAUUCCAUAGUGGCAUUAUCAGGUUUCAAGAAUUUUAUGAGGAAGGGGAGAGAGAGAUACUCCUGGAUGAAAUAUCUAAACUUCGGGAACAGGUAUUUAUUUGAACGCUGAUUCAUUUUCUCACGCUUUCUCUUAAUGGAGCAUCUAAUCUUGUGAACUUGGUAAUGAUGAAUUAAGCUUUUCCUUUUCAGGUGCUCCAAUUCUUUGAUGGCACGCCCAUGUCUCAUCAAAAUUCAAAUAUGGAUAAUCAGAAUCAGGUUCGUUGAACUUCUUGAUCACCUAUCUGAGGCAUAUCCCAAUAGAAAACCUAGAUUGUGAUUGAUUAUAUAAGUUAAUAAUUCUAUUGUACAAAACUUCCGGUGCAUUUUCUUUUCUCCAGUGUUUGACUCUAAGAAUUGAUGCAUGCAAUUCUGUAUUCCACAGGAAACCACACACGCCAACCAAGAGAACAAUACUCUUCAUUUAAAGGUAAACUUUGCACUGUCUCGAAAAAUCAGGGCAUAUAUCUUUACAGUCAGAAUCGUUAACCUGAGUAAUAUUAUCUUUUCUUUCCAGUUAAAGAACACAGCUGAUGAGUUGAAGCAGAGCAGGGAAAGCUACAAUGCUUGCAUAGAGGAGAACCGAAAACUGAGUAGGUAAGGAACUCAUCCAAUCUUCAACUGAAUACCGACAUCAUACUUCAGUUUAGUAGUUUCUUGUGGAAAAUAAAGCUUAUUUCACGUGCACUCUGCUAAUUUCAGACAAAUCCACGAUCUACAUCAGAUGGUGGAGAACUUCAAAUCUACAGCCACUGUUGAGGAUAUUGGUAUUAGAAAUAAAAAGGUUUGAUUGGCAUUUGUGGAAUUUUCACCAAUCCCUUUCAAUUAGUAUUAAGAUCCCUACUUGCAUUUGUCCAAUAACAUUUUGUACGACGAGAAAAGGAGAAUGGACUGCUGGGUUACUUUUAUUCCAUGUCACCAUGAUUCAGUUGGCUCAUACUUGAUUUUCCAGGACUCGGUUGAAAUGGAGCAUUUUGCAGCAGGGGUAAAUCAAGUAGAAGAAGUAUUGCAUCUGCAGCUGGAGUUAGACAUAGUGAAGAUAAUUCUUGCAGAAGAAAGGUCAUCCAAGGAAGAAGCAGUUGAAAAUUCAAGUUCCUUAACGAGAGCUCUUGACUUGGCAAAAGAAAAGCUUUUGGUUUUGACCCAGCAUUUUGAUGAUGUCACUGAAGAACUGAAAGAGACUAAGUUGGUAGUUGAAGCCCUUGAAUCAGAUCAAAUACGAGCGAUGACUGAAAUAGAUGACCUAAGUAAAAACAACAGUCAUUAUGUCAAGCUUCUGAGAGAUAAGGAGACUGAAAUCAUGGCUUUGAAGCGCCGAAAGCCAUCAAACGCCUUGCAGGCUAAGAAUUCAGAGGAUCAGGAUUCUACCCUGAUGAAGAAGCUGAAGAGGAUGCAAGAGUCUAUUGAGAAGACCAAGGAAAUGAAUUCCUGGUACUUCAGGGACAAUGCUCGUCAGGCAUCUAAUGAAGCAGAAAUGGAUGAAGUUCGACAACAGGCUGAAGCUGAAACUGUGGAGGCCAUCAUUUGUUUGGAGGAAGAACUUGGAGUGCUUCAGCACCAGGUCCAGGAAUUCAAUUUGAAAGAGAUUGAAGCUAAAAGCUCUAUAAUGCUUCUGGAGGCCAAAGUGAAGGAGACUCACGACAAGUUGGACCUUGUAACUGAAGUGAAUAAUGAGUUGCUUGGAAAGCUUGAACAGAAAGAACAAGACGUGAGAGAAUUAACCCAAGAAUGGGAGCUUCUGGCUUGUGAGAUGGAAGCAAUUCUCACUGAUGGACAUGAGGCUGUCAUGGAUGCUUCUGAUCAACUUGAAGAAAUUUCCACUACUUUACCCGAGAAGCGAAUUUGGAUCUCUGAAAAAGUUAGCAGGUUAAUUAGGACCGUAUCUGAGAAGGAGUUACUGGUAGAAGAACUUGGAAAAUGUUUAGAAGAUGCAAACCACCAGAGAAGUGAUGUGGAGUACAUGAUUAAGUCAUUGCGGGGUGCAGCAUUGGUGAUUAAUGAAGCUCAUCAGCAGGAGUGCAAUGACAAAGAACAAGAAAUUCUUGCCUUGAAGUCCCAAUUGAAAGAUCAAACCUUAACAAUUACGAAGCUGGAAAACAAAGUACAUUUAGCAGAGUCUCAUGCAAGUAAUUCAUUACUUUGUGCUGCCAUUGAAUUUGUAAUCAUGAAGAGAUUCUCAGAGAUGAAGCACAAUAGCCUCAAUGAAUUGAGUUACAAAGAAGUCGAACUUAGUAAAGUGGUUGAGAUUAAUGCGAGGCAAGAAAGCCUUCUCCAUGAUCAGGCUGCAACUAUUGAAGGAGCUGAAGGAGAAAUUCGAUUGCUGAGAUCGGAAACAGAAGACUUAAAGAAAACAUGCACCAUUCUUCAGCAAGGCCUUAGUGAAGAGGAGAAACGAUCAUCUUCCAUGCAGCGGCAGCUUGAAGCUAUUGAAGAGAACGAAAUUGUGCAGACAAAUGAAAAGCUGGCUGAGUUAAAAACUGAGGUGUUAUCACUCCAUUCAUGCAUAGGUGCCAAUAUUCGAGAUGAUGAUGCCUCUGAAAUUGAUGGAACGCUGGAAGCUUGUGUACAAGAUGUUCACAGCCUUGGAUUGGUAAGUUAUUCAACACGUUUAACAUAUAACAUAAUUUGAAAUUUAGAGUCGUUUAUCUGCAAAGUUUUUUGUUCCUAACUUAUUCUGUUUUCUAACUGUUGUAGACAAAUGCCGUGAAUGACUUGAGCUCAGCUAACACUUCACAUGAACCAAACAAUGAGAUCAUAAGCAGUCUAAACAAUCCACGUAAUAGAGAUGUUACAAUUUCACUUCUAAAAGGAGGAAUAGAGUCUGCAUUAGCAAGUUUGCAAGAUGUCCGGUUGGAGAUGGGUAGGUUGCAUGCAGAGAACGAAAAGUUCCGGAUCUCAGAGAGGCAGAGCAAGGAGACUUUAGAGUUUGUUACUACUCAGUUACUUGCAAUGCAAGCUACUGUCAAUGACUUCGAGAAACAGUUUGAACUGAAGAUAGACAUUAUUAACUAUAAGUUGCAGGCCUUUGAGCAAGUCGUCCAAAAAGCCAUGGAUGAUUGGUCGGAAACAAAAGAGGUAACUGAGAGCUCAUACUUUUCCUAUUAUCUAAUAAACUAUAACCCUUAAGACAAUCUAACAUUCAGCAGAAUGCUAGUUUUAAAUCUACCAUUUUUAGUGAUUUAAUGUCUGUAACUCGGAAUUCUCAUUGCUCUAUUAACAAUCAUUUUUCAGUGCGUUGAGAUGGAAGUCGGCGAUGCAAAGUUGAUUGCUGUGCAAAAGGCUGCAGAAGCCUCUUGUUUAUUUGGAAAAUUUGAGGAGGCGCAGCAUACAAUGAAAGAAGCCGAUAUUAUGAUCAACAAACUCCUGAUAGCUAAUGAAACAAUGAAGCUUGAGUUGGAAAAACAGAAGGAGAUGGAGAUCACACUAAUAAAUGAAAAAGUGAAGUUGAUUGAAGAGGUCCAGAGCUUACAAGCUGCCAGCUGUGACAAGGACCAGCAGCUUGAAGAUCUUGAAAGGCAGUUUGCACAAAGCUUGAAGGAAACAACAUGUGUUGUUCAAGAAUUGGAGGAUAUCGUUGCCGGAAUUCAGUCCUCUUUCCAUGAAAAUUGCAUCGCGAUGGCAGAUGACUUGAAUAACUUAAAGUCCUUUUCUCUUCACUCACGUAAGGUUGUAGGUUCAUGGCUUGAAGAUGUCUGGUCCGAGAUAAUAGUAAAGGAUUGUGCCGUUACAGUGCUACAUCUCUGUCACAUGGGUAUUAUGUUAGAAACGGCGACAGGGCUGCAUGCAGAAAAUGGUUUGCUUCAACAUGGCCUGUGUGAGACAAACUCAAUCAUAGCGGAUCUCAAGGAGCGUAAUUCCAGGUCAGGUAGAGAGCUCCAAAUAUGCAGAAACCUCGAGGGAAAGUUAUUGGCAGACAUCAAGAGCAGUUUCGAUCGUAUAUCAAGGAAAGAAGGAGAAAUGGGUGAGCUUGGUGUUAAAUUAAGUGCUUUCGAGAAAAGGAUCUUUGAUCUGCAGCAUCAAGAGGAGUUGAUGCUAGAGAGGUCAAAUCACAUUGGAUCUCAGCUCACUGUUCUAAUGAAGGAGUUAGACACCAGUAACCAAGAUGUAAUGGAGUCCCUUAAGACCCAGGAGAAAAUGUUGAAAGACAGGGAACAAUGCUUUGAUUCCGAAACUGACAUCCUUUUAUUGGACAUCUUGACUACAGAAUUCGAGUCGUGCAUCAUGGUUUCGCAUUUAAAAGAUUUGGCUUUCAGCAGACUGGAAGCUGAGAGAAUGGUUGAGGGUUUAAAGAAAGAAAUCAUCAUUGCAUUGGUAGACGCUGAGUUGAAAGCUCAGGUGCUAGCAGCUGCAGAAUCAGAAGUAGCUGUUUUGCAAAGACAAGUUGAGAAGGCAGAAACUGGAUGCCAAGAUCUUUUGAUUCGGCUGAAUGAAAGUGAAUCAGGCUCCACACAUCUGGUUGAAGCAAACAAAACUCUUGAAAUGGAAUUGGCACGGCUAGAGGACAUUGCUUGUUCAAAUUCCACAUUAAAGAGGGAAGUUGGUGAGCUAGAGAAUGUGAUUUUGAAACUAACAAGCCAGACUGAAUUGCUAGAAACUGACAACGGGGAACUGCUGCUAGAGUUGAACGCUAAAGCAACAGCUUUGGAAAAUAACUCCACACGUCUUGUUCUUCUUGAGCAACAAAAUGAGAAGUUACAGGAAGAUAUUGUCCUUCUUGAAGCCGCAUCAAGCAAACUUCAAAGGGAGCUAGACCAAAAAGAAGUGGAACUUCGUCAAAAGAGUUUGCUGGAAGAAGAAAUUCAAUCUCUAAAGAAUGAGGCAGGACAACUGAGAGCAGAAAAAAUUCAGGUUUUGGAAGAUUUGGAGUUGAAGAGUGCUGAAAUUGAGUCAUCUAGAAGCUGCAUAGAUGUCUCCAGUUUGGAAAAGCAGACAUUACAAGAAAAAGUUUCCUUCUUGGAGGCUAGUGUUGCCAGUCUGCAAGCUGAUUUGGAGAAAAAGAGUAAUGAAGUAAAUAAACUUGUAAAUUCUCUUGCCCUCUUGCAAAAUGAACGCAGGUCCUCGAAGUUAAGCUUCAUCGAAUCCUUUAGCCGGUUAAGCUCGAGGAAUUUGGAGUGUCUCGAUGCAGUAGAAAUAAUACAAUCUUCAUUUCACAGGUUCUGCAGUGCAGUGGAUGAAGAAAAUUCUACGCUUGCACAUAAGGUCUUCAAUGAGCUCUCAGAAAAUUUAGAGAAGACAUAUUUUUUCAUCGAGGAGAUUGAUCGGUUGGAAUGCUGUGUUGAAAACUUGGUAUCUGAGAAUAUGUCUCUACAGGCAGAUAUGUCUAGGAAGGAUGACAUUCUGAAAGGAAUGUCAUUUGAUCUCAGCCUAUUACAGGAGUCUGCAUCUAAUACAAAAGAUCUAAAAGAUAAGAUGGAGGCUCUGGAGAAUGACCUUGCUGUCAAAUCUGAUCUGCUAGAUGAAUUCAUUCUGAAUAAUCAAGCACAGGAAGCACAAUUACUUGAAAAGACAGUCAGAGUAUCUGAUCUUGAAUCAGAACUAGCUAACAAAAGCGAAUCUCUGAAAACGUGUACCAUUGAAAAUAUCAAAUUGAGAGCUGAAAUCAAAGAAACCUGUUCUGCGAAGACAUCACUUGAGGUGGAGCUAGCAAAGAGUAAGAGCUUGACAGAGAGUUUGGGGAUGGAGCUGUCUCAAAUGGAUAACGAUCUUCAGCAGAUGGACACUAAAGUAGAAGCUUUUCAGAACAGCUUGAGUCAAAUGACGAAUGAGAGGCAUGAGCUACUGAUAGAGAUAGAUGGUUUGAGACAACAGCUUGACAAAGCAGAGACUUUGGCCGAGGAACAUGAAGCUAUUGCAAUGGCUGCUAAACAGGUAACUCUAAGUCCACUUUGAAACAAAUGCAGUAAAGUAGGUCUUUACACCAGGUAGCUUCAUAUCAUUUUUGUGAUGAUGCAGGAGGCUGAAUCCCUGAAAAAACACGCAGAGGACAAAGAGGCUGAGGUGGAACUACUAGAGAAGUCUGUUGAAGAGUUGGAAUGCACCAUCAAUGUCCUGGAAAACAAUGUGAGAGCUGUGAAAAUUUAGUAGUUUUUUGUGCUUAUUAUUUAAGUUCAAUCAUCACUUAUGCAUCUUCAAUAGGUUGAUAAUCUAAAAGAAGAAACGGAAAGGCAAAGAAUGCAAAGAGAAGACCUGGAAGUGGAAAUUCAUGCUCUAAAGAAUCAAAUGCAGACUUUUGAAAGUUCAGACUCAAACAUGAGAAGGUUUAAAAUGAUUUCUUAUAAGCCAGUUGUAUAAUUAAUGUGAACCAUCGUUCAAUACUGACUUGAUCAUCUGAGAUGUUCAGGCAUUUAGAAGAGAAUGAGACGUCCCUUGGAAAUGCUCUACAUCAUAUUGAAACUCUAAAAAAAGAUAUAACUGACAAGGAUACAGAGGUAUAGGGUUUUCACCGGUCAAUUUUUAUCCUUUUGGUCUUAUGUGAUAGACGGUAUGUUCAUCUUCACCGGUUUAUUUUUGUUUCAACUCUUCAGAUUGUCCAAUUCAAGGCACAUAUCUCCGAGCUGAAUUUGCAUGCGGAAGCGCAAGCUAGUGAGUAUAAGCAGAAGGUAAGGCAAAUUUGUUAUGUUGAACUUUGAACCUCCUCUAUUUUACAUGAUUUGGAUACUAAAUGAAACUUGACAACAGUUUAAGGCUCUGGUAGCUAUGGUUGAACAAGUGAAGCAUGAAGGUUCCUUCAACAAUGCUGCUAAUACUUCCGCAAACAAGUCAGAGAAAUUCGCUGUCAAGCCUAGGGGCUCCGGGUCUCCUUUCAAAUGCAUAGGUCUAGGUUUGGCUCAGCAGAUGAAGUCCGAGAAGAAUGAGGAAAUGAGUGCUUCGAAGAUACGUAUUGAAGAGCUGGAAUGUUUAGCAGCAAGCCGUCAAAAGGAGGUAGGCAUUUCGAACGAAUUCUUGUGUUCCAGAACCCAAAAUUCCUGGUAAUUAUUAAAUUCUGAAUGGUCCUGUAUUGGAUCGUUGCAGAUAUUUGCACUGCAUUCCAGGUUAGCUGCUGCUGAGAGCAUGACUCAUGAUGUUAUACGAGAUUUACUCGGACUGAAGCUUGACAUGACAAAUUAUGCGGUAAAUUUCUUCUCUGAAAGGAAAUGGAACGAACUGCUUUUUUCAAUCUUUUUCUUUAGCGGACAUUUCCCCUUGGUUACUUGCAGUCAGUGCUGGACAAUCAACAACUUAAGAAGAUAGCAGAAAAAGCUCAGUUCAGCUGCUUGGAAUCUGAAACACAGGUAUUCUCAGGCCUUCUAUAACUCGAAAAGUUCUGAUCUCUUACUAUCGGCUUAUCGGUAUGCAAUGUCCAUAUAGGACGACACCAUUAUGCAGCUCAAGAAACAGCUCCAUGAGUUAAUAGAGGAAAGAAGAGGGUAAGCAUUUCCUCAAUUUACGAACUCAGCUUAUCUUCAUGGAAUAAUAAGUUGCGGUCUGCUGAGUCUCUCGUUUUUUGCAGAUGGCUUGAGGAAAUUGAUCGUAAACAGUCUGAUAUGGUCGCUGCACAGGUAGCGCUCGAAAAUAUUCGUCAACAAGAUCAAUUCCUGCAAGCUGAAAAUGAGAUGUUAAAGGUAAGUAACUUGUUACAUGAGAGAGCUUGUACAUUGUAUUUAAACCCAUUUUUGCUCAUACGAGAGAGCUUAUUAUACAUUGUGAUAGAUGGAAAACGUCAGCCACAAGAAACAAAUAACAGAACUUGAAGGCGAAGUAAAGAAGCUAGCUGGACAGCAGAAUCUCCAGCAAAAAAUUCAUCACCACGCGAAAAUAAAGGUAAGAAAUCCAAACCAAAGCAUGACAUCUUGUUUUCACUUUUCGGCCUUUUGGGUAGAGGAAAUGCUCUUAGUCUGGUCUUUCUUUAUCGACGACAGGACGAGAACCAUGUCCUCAAGGUUCAGAACGAGGAACUCAGCUCCAAGCUUCACAGAGCAGAGCUGAUGCUUUCUCGUGGAAGAGACGAGAUCGUACGCUACCGCACUUCCAUCGAAAGGCUCCCUAGCUUGCCUCGUCAUGAGAAGGUCCAGGAGUUGAACUCGCUCAGGGUUAGUACAGUUUUCAUCAGUCCAAAGGCAUGAGAAUCUGCGUGUCGAUAUUUUUCGGUCUGAACAAUCGUUUCCAUUGUUCGAUAUGAUCCUCCCUUGUGGCUUGGGGUUUAAAGAUGUGAAGGAAUGCUAUAUAAACGAAUCAAGCAAUUCUCCCAACAACUCGAGUGAUUGGGAUGAACUGAUUUUCGACAUUGUAUCGAAGCCUUUUUACCGUAUUCUCUCGCCUUUGUGUAAUCAUAGGCUGAAAAGAAUGAAUUGUGAGCCUGAUUUAUAAUUUUGGUACGCAGGAAAAAUACAGUGACAGAGUGGCGACAUCAGUAAGGACAAGAGCGGAAGACCAGACAAGUUCAAGAAGGCUGUCUAACCAACCUCGCGAUCAUCACGGGUUGGACCGGUGACCCAGCCAGGUUGAACGGAUGGGUUUGGUGGGUUAAGGUAUUUAUUCAGGAUGGAUGUGUAUCUGUAACAAUUGGUUGUAGUUCUUGUUCCAUCUUGCUGUAUGCAAAUUUUUUUUUGUAAAUAUUUUUUAGAUAAUUUCAAUCAAUCAGUAAUUGGUUAUUUCGGCUCUUUGUAUAAUCCAGCUUAUGUACCAAUUGUAUAAUGUUAUGUAACGAUUAUAUAAUUUUGGUAACGAUUAUAUAAUUUUGGUAACAAUACUGAUGAUCUAACGAAACGACACGGCUAAGGUGAUACAAAUGGUCAUUGGCUACUCUAGAAAUGUCAGCAACAGAAUAAAGAUACAAAAUUUAACUGCAAAUUUGUUAUACAUUGCAAUCAUCUCUCGUCAUUUAAAGGACGAACCGACAUUUAUAUCUUCAAGCCUUUGAGCUUAAAAAUCAUGCCUUAAUGUUGUUCAUUCAAGCGAUCCAGCUCCUUCUCCCACUUGAAUCCAAUCAUCUGCCGACCAAAUGGUACGAUGAGGUUAUACUUGAAAACCUGCGAACAAAACGCGUACACAUCCACAACGAUCAUCUUCUGCAUAGAGGAAUCGGUCGUGAGUGUUGAUGAACAGGGGCUGACCUUGUUAUUGAUGCUUUUCAACUGAGCUUUCAGGGCUUCAGACACUUCAUCACGGUUGCAUUUGUUAGCCGCGAAUGCUUUCUUCAACCCGGACCGCCACUCCAAAAUCUGGCUCCUGAUCUCCUUGUUCAGCUCAACCCACUCCGGGGCGCAGUUGUUCUUGGAGAGGAUCCUGUACAGCGUGUCUUCGGCCGGGUCAGCGUGCGGAUUGGUGUCGAGGUUGAGAGGUUUCCCUUUCCCCGGCAAGUUCUCGAAUUGCCCUUCUUCCAUUGAAUGCCAUAUUCGUUGCUCAACCACGUUGAUAAUGUCCGUUUCUGACCUGCAACACCACAUUGAUAAUCACUUGGCACAUCUCAUUGAUCGAGGUGACUGUAUGAUCGGAAUCAUACAGUUAUACAAACAACUUUUAAACUCCAAUGUUAACUGAAAUUCAGAACAUUUCGCCGUUUUUGUUUACUAUAAAGAAUGUACUUCGCCAUUGCAAUUCAAAGCAAAGUUCUAGUAGAAGCUAGGGAUCUGAAUCAACCAAUCAAUUGUAGCUAUUGGCAUAUCAAUCACCGUUCCAGAAUCAUAGAUCAACGAAUUGGACAGUAAUUGAUCAAACAUUUCAUCAUUUUGAUGAAGAGCUUCAGAUUAUUACUCCUUCACUGCAAUUCAAAGCUAAGUGUUUCUAAUUGAAGUUAAGAAUCCCUAAUCAAUCAACUAUAGCCUAGCAAUCACAGUUUCUAUAUUCAAAUUCAAGAUGCUGACAAAUUCAAUCAAGAGGCUAUCCAAUAAGAACAAGAAACCCUAUAAUCGAGGGAGCUAAUAAGUAAACGAAUAGCAUCCAAACAGAGGAUUUCGUAACCUCACGGAGUUGCGCUGGCCGCGGAGUUCAGGAGGGAGCUUCCGGUCGUUGACUGCGUCGAUCACUGUCGACAGACGGUCCGCCUUCUUCCGAGGCUUCGACGAGGAAGGAGAAUAAGACGAUGCGAACCGCCUAGUUAGGAACGAGGAAUCCUCCGCCGUUGGUUUGGGAAGCGGGCUGAUUACGGAGGAGAAGAGGCCACGGAGGCGUCGGAUUCCGGCCAUGGAGCGGCGGAGGUCGAAGGUUGGAGAUGAGAGAAUGAACAGAGCACUCUGGAAAGGUGCAGGGUGCCAGGGUUUCACUCACUGGUCAGAAUUGCUAAUGGCUCAGUUUGCCGCCAUUGUUCUGACACAUGGCGUUGUGUAUGGUCGCCACGUGUCCAUCCAGCUUUCUUCGACUGAAAGCAUGGACUAUCGCUCGCGCCUUCAAACAAUUUGAUCAUAUAAAAGUAACUAAUUUUAAAAUGAAAAUUCAAUUAUAUGGCAAGUGUUUCGGUACUCGAGGUGCAUCGACAUCUUUAGUUAUAUUGUGUGUUUUAAUUGGUUGAAAUUAAAUAAAAUGAAUUUAUAUUUAAUAAUUCCUUUAAAUAUUAAAAUUAUAUAAUUUAAUUACUAGAUCUUUUAGUUCCGUCACCUCAUUCCGUUAAGUUAUUAAUUUAUUUGCGAUAUGUUUGGUGAACAAAAAUUAACUAAUAUUUUCUUCUUCCUAGCCAAAUUAUCUCUCACAAACCACUAUUUCCUUUCAUCUAAUUGGUUCUCAAAGAUUAAAUCAAAUUUGUAUAAAUUUAAUCCGAAUCAAACUUAACCCAACAAUUGAACCAUUGUUAACCUAUAAAGAAAAUAAUAUAUAAACACUGCAUCUAUCGUCAUAAUCCAACGUUGCCGUUGUAGAAUCCAAGGCCGCCGCCAUAGAAUUGAACGCUGCUAUUGUAUCAUCAAAAUCCUUUUUGCCGCACCUCAAUCCCGAUGAAAAAAUCGUUGAGAGUUAGUGUGGCAUUCGUUGUAGAGGUCACGAUUUGGUCAAAGUUUGGCCAAUUUCGACCGAUUGAAUAAUCAUGCAGUUGUUGAUUUGUUUGUUUGUUGUGAGAAAACAAAAUAUCAUCGAAUAAAAGCCUGAUCUUUACAAGAGUAUGUAUAAGGUGGUUCGAGAAGGUAGAGAUAUAAAAUUUAGAGAAUAUUAAUUUUUUUCUUUAAAACAAUUAAUUGGACUACCAAACAAGCCUUUAAAAUAAAGGCGAUGAGAAUAACAUUAUUAAUCUAAAUUGAUUGACGUUUUUGGUAAAUCAAAUAUUGAAUGAUUAAACCAUACGAUAAGCCUAAAUGGAAGAAUUGUAAAAGAAAAGCCCCUAAUUGAAUGGUUAGACCAUGAACCAUAUGAGAGCUAACCACUAGUCCUGAGCCAUCAGAGAGCUAGAAAUAAAAUCAGCUCAAUUAAAAUUAAAAUUAAAGUAGCUAAACCCAUGGAGCAACAGGACGAACAUGAAUUAUCGAAAACAGUUAACAGUUACUUCAUCCAACAAACCAAUCCACAAACGCUACAGACCACGACAGCUCCAUUACUCUGUUUCUUCAGCCAUCUUUCGUUAAUCGGAAAGCCAAACCGUAGAAGCAAACCCAAGCCGAAUUUUUCAAACCCAAUACGUACAAAUGGGAAAAAGGGCAAAAAGCAAAGCAGUAAAGCAACUCCUGCAAGUCAGCAAGAACAAAGAAGAACCCAUCUCAUCUCAGCCUCCAAUUGGUCGAGGAGAAAAAACCAGAGAGAGGGAUGGAUCGACAAGCUAUGACGGUCGGGCCAGGGAUGGAUAUGCCGAUUAUGCACGACAGCGAUCGGUACGAGCUGGUUCGAGAUAUCGGGUCCGGUAAUUUCGGAGUCGCCAGGCUUAUGAGAGACAAGAGGAGAAACGAGCUCGUCGCCGUCAAAUACAUCGAGAGAGGUGAGAAGGUACCUUGCUGAUACAACUUCCUUUCAAUGUCUCCUCAUUUGCUUGGUAAAGUUUAUGGAUGAUUGAAUCACUAGUCGUGACCGUUGUUAGUUCAAUCUCUGGUCUGGUUUUGGCAUGGGUGGAUCCAGGUUUACUUUCCGGAAUGUUUCGGUUUAAGUCAUUGUCAGAAUUGUGCUUACCUUCUUGAUGCUGCUGUGUCACACAGAUAGAUGAAAAUGUGCAGAGGGAGAUAAUCAACCACAGAUCACUGAGGCAUCCUAACAUCGUUAGGUUCAAAGAGGUCUAUGCCUGAUCUAAUUAAUCCUAAAUCAUUAUGGAUUUUCAGUACUAUGAUAAUGGUGCCAAAACUACAUCUAUCUUUGACACAAACUUGCAGGUGAUAUUGACACCAACUCAUCUGGCCAUUGUCAUGGAGUAUGCAUCCGGGGGAGAGCUCUUCGAGCGGAUAUGUAAUGCUGGCCGAUUUAGCGAGGAUGAGGUUCUUUUCUUAUACAUUGUUCAAAUGAUUUCUUGUGUGUCAUGGUUUGGUUUCAUAAUGUGAUGAUUUUCGUACAGGCACGGUUCUUCUUCCAACAGUUGAUUUCAGGAGUUAGCUACUGUCAUUCAAUGGUUAGGGAAACCAACAAGUUUGUUGCUUUUUUUUAUCCUUUGGAGGGUUUAGUUAGUUACGCUCAUGCUGACUGAGUUCGAUUGUGUUUCUGGUUUCUAAGCAAGUGUGUCAUCGCGACUUGAAGUUGGAGAACACGUUGUUAGAUGGAAGCCCUGCACCACGCUUGAAGAUCUGCGAUUUCGGAUACUCGAAGGUAACAGAACUAUAUAUAACCAGUUUUUUGUUUCCGUGAGCUUUGUUGUUCUAAUGUGUUUCGUACUUUUGCAGUCCUCAGUGCUUCACUCACAGCCAAAGUCCACUGUGGGAACUCCUGCAUAUAUUGCUCCUGAAGUGUUGCUCAAGAAGGAAUAUGAUGGCAAGGUAAAAACAAUAAUGACUUGCUGAAAAGUAAACCGAGCAUCAAUAAUGCCUGCUGAACAAGUAAACCAAGCGUCAAUAAUCAUUGGAUUGCAGAUUGCAGAUGUGUGGUCCUGUGGGGUGACAUUAUACGUAAUGUUGGUGGGAUCGUACCCUUUCGAGGAUCCUCGCGAGGCCAAGAACUUUCGCAAGACGAUUCAAGUAAUGUUUAUGAAAUCGUAAAGUGUUGCAGAAGCUGACAUGGCUUAAUAACGAUUUUAUCACGAUCUUGCAGCGGAUUUUGAACGUGCAGUACUCGAUUCCCGACUAUGUCCACAUAUCAAAAGAGUGCCAACACCUGAUCUCUAGAAUAUUUGUAGCUGAACCAGAAAAGGUCACUCCUUUAACUCCCACACUUACUUAAACUUCUUUCAACUUCCUUCACUCAAAAUUGUUUCUUGAUAUUGUAACAGAGGAUAACCAUCCCCGAGAUAAGGAACCAUGGAUGGUUUCUGAAGAAUCUACCGGCUGAUCUGAUGGAUGAUGACGACACGAGCAGCAGCCAGUUCGAGGAGCAGCAGCCUUCGCAGAGCGUGGACGAGAUAAUGCAAAUCAUUGCAGAAGCUACCUUGCCAGCAGCUGGGACAUGGAGUCUGAACCAAGGUCUAAUGGGAAGUUUAGAUAUCGACGACGAGAUGGAUGAGGACGACGAGCUCCAGUCUGACCUGGAUAUCGAUUUCGAGAGCAGCGGGGAGAUUGUGUAUGCCAUGUAGAUUGUAUUCUGGAAUCUGUCUCCUUAUGUAUACGGUUUAGGGUCAGAUUUCCAUUUGAUGUGUAUUGUGUUUAAUAAUUAUAAUGUAAAGGUUUGUGUGAAUAUACUCAUUGGUUAAAUAGAAUUGUUACCUAAUGAAUGGAGACUUUCAAUGGAGUUGGUAUAUUGGAGUUAGGGAUCUUUGUGCUGAGAAAAGUACACAAUUUCAUAUUCAUCUGGUGUUUUUGGUUACAAGAUUUAUAAAGAAUAUACAGAAAGUUUGACAAAUUGUCUGGGUGGUGUAGUUGGUUAUCACGUUAGUCUCACACACUAAAGGUCCCCAGUUCAAACCUGGGCUCAGACAUUCUGCGUUUUAUUUAAACUUUUUUACUCUGGGUUGUUUUUCUUAGUGGGCCUACUCUGGCCCAAUUUGCCUAGACUAUAACAAUAAUCGUGACAAAUAAAGCCCACAUUUCCUUCCAAUAUAAAACAGACGGCAAUAUCUAUCUCCAAUGGAGCCCCAAACUCCCGCCACCGUCCCCCAAUCCUCUUAACCCCUCGCCGGCCCAACCCCCGGCGACACUUGAACACCAGCAGCAUAUCAACCUCACAGCAAGCCAACAAUUGGCUUGGUUUGCUGCUCCACCGAGCACCGGCAAAAAUGCUAUGUAGCCAACUGUCCCUCCGUUCACGUUGCCUCCGCUCCUUCCCCCGGCCGUUUGCAACUUCUUCCGUCUCCGCCGCCACAGCGGCGGCGAAGAAGAAAGGGAAGGUAGUCGUGAUUUCCGGGCCGACAGGUGCCGGAAAGAGCAGGCUCGCGCUCGAACUAGCGAAGCAGCUUCGCGGUGAAAUCAUCAGUGCUGACUCCGUCCAGGUCACUUUUUUCUCUCUCUUUUCCCUCCUUACCGCCAUUUUCGUUUAAAAAUUUCGUCACCAGCUAGCUGACUCUAUCGGAUUUCGGGUUCAUUUGAAACCGAGUUGAAUUCAAGUAAUUAUGGCUGAACUCAAUCGUCCUAUCAUGGUUGGUGUUGAACUGAGCUGAAUUUUAAGUUUUAUCUACAAACAGCUACUUAUUGUAAAAAUGAUUCAAAUUGAAAGCCAAAAUUUGAACAUUCAUAUUCAUGGAACCUCGGAUUAGUCAUGGUAUUCCCGAACCUGUAUGUAGCCUUGCCAUUGCGAAGAGUGAUGUUCUUCUAGGCAAUUUUAUACUGUGUAUAGAGUGAUGACCAACAGAUAAAAUGGUUGUCAUCUUUUCUUUGUCGGGUUUUCAACUUAAUGUGCUGUAUGCUUUCCUUUUUUUGCAGGUAUAUCGUGGUAUGGAUGUUGGAUCAGCGAAACCUUCUCACAGUGAAAGAGAGGUGCUUCCUCCUUCCAUGAUUAGCGUGGUUUUUUGCCUCGUAAUUACAUGAGCAUAUAGCACUUGUUAGGUGUUAAUACUCUUACCACCACGAGACUGUUGGAUCAUUAGGAUUUUAUCUUGAAUUAUCCAUGUAUUAGGUCCAUGCGACUCCAUAGGGGUGAGAAUUCAUUCCAAUUGUAAGCUAGAAAUUAACAAGCAAUGAGAGACUCAGUUGCAUGCUUCAGUCUUUGUCUUUGUACUAUAUCUAAUUUUUCAUCCGGAUUGGUCUCCCUAGUGAGCAAUACUUGAGCUUUAACUAGGCCUAUGUUUGGCAACAGAAAUCAUGAUUACUAGGAAAGUUGAAUUGAGACUAGUGUAAAGAAGCUGAGUUAGAGUAAAAAAAUAUUAUGGAUGGAAACUUGAAUCAAAGGAAAUAAGGAUUUCAAUUGGAAUCAUGUUUCCCAAUCUAUUUCAUGGGAAAAUAAACUUUUCUAGGAAUCCUUCAUAUCCUUUGAAUUUAACAUCUUUUUCUCAAUUCUUUCCAACCUCAACUCAACCAUUUUAUACUAUUUCAAUUCAACUUUCUUAGGAAUCAUGAUUCCAAUUGCCAAACAUAGCAUAGGUGUUUGCCCUAAUUUUGCUAGUUUUCUCAAUUCAGGAAGUGCGACACCAUUUGAUUGACAUAUUGGACCCAUAUGAAGGUAAAAAAUAGCAGCUUUUGUUUACCUGUGAAAAGAAUAAUUUCAUGUUUGUCAUGUUCAUGGUUGCCAUUUGAAUUUGUUUUCAGAUUACUCAGUUGGACGGUUCUUUAGAGAUGCUAGACAAGCCACACAAGAUAUUCUCAAUCGCGGCAGUGUCCCUGUAGUUGUUGGUGGGACGGGACUGUACUUGAGAUGGUAUGCAUAUAUAUAUACAUAACGCGUUUUUCUUCUUUUUAUAAGACUCUAAUUGUUCAAGGACUGGCAUUUUGCUUUUACACUAUUGUUCGUUUAACUGGCAGUUUCAUGGUUUCACUGUUAAGCAGUCAGCUUUAUGGCAAACAUUAUGUUUUGCGAUAUUGUCUUAUUACUUUUUAAGAAUGAUGUUCAAAAUCCUUCGACUUUUAGGUUCAUAUAUGGGAAACCUGAUGUUCCACAAGCUACAGUGGAUGUUGCUUCUGAAGUUGACUCUGAGCUUGCUGAACUACAACGCAAUAAUGAUUGGGACACGGCAGUGCAAUUAGUGGUCAAAGCAGGUGAUCCAAGGGCACGAGAUUUACCAGUCAAUAAUUGGUACCGUUUGCGGCGCAGCCUUGAGAUUAUCAAGGUUAAUUUGUAAGGAAGCCUUCAUUAUUUUUGUAACUAGGACGCCGCGUAUUUGCUUUUGCGUGCGGUUCACUUACCUUGUUUUUGCUAUGACAGGCUAGUGGAUUCCCUCCAUCCACUUUUAAAGUUCCAUAUGAUUCUUUCAAGGAAGAAGCAAUCUCAAAUCCAACAGAUAGCUCGUGCAGUGGUGGGGAUGUAGACUCAAAAGAUUUAGACUAUGAGUUUCUAUGCUUUUUCCUCUCAAGCCCCAGACUUGAUUUAUACAGAUCAAUUGAUUAUCGGUGUGAAGUGAUGCUUUCAGGUACUUCAUGCCAUAGCUUGCAACUCUUCCCAAGUUCAAACUAUGUGAUCUCACUUUGUGCUUCUUGUGUUGCCUAUAGAACGGUAUGGACUUCUAUCGGAGGCAAAAAUGCUCCUUGACAUGGGUCUUCUUCCAAGUUCCAAUUCUGCAACUCGAGCAAUUGGUUAUAGACAGGUACUCGUUAGAGUGAUGUUAUUUCUCUCUAUUUAGCAGUCUUACAUAUUCAAGCUACAUAGCUUGAUUUCUAUAAAACAGGCUACAUAGUUUGG